rnacentral:lncRNA from 1 species
GUUUGUUUACUGGACUACUUACUACUUAGGUAUUGGAUUAUAAUCCUUAGCACAGCUCUUAUCUUACCAAUUUUUAAAUCAGGGCUCAACUACAAACAGCAUGUAUGAAAAACUUCAAAAUUACCCCGUCAAUCAAAUGGCUAAAUACUGAUAAAUUUCAAAAUCAAAGGAGAAGGGGUUGUCCUUACCCUGCGAGAGAGGUGAGCACAAUAGAAGCAAUGACGCACCAACCAGUUGCCGUGGAAGCAGCAACAGUCGCGUAAUCAAAGAAAUAGACGAGACUCAUCCGAGAUACUCUAGUCCCGACAAGAAUUGACAAAAAAACUCCAAGAGUGAGAUAGUAUAAGCAUUGAAUGGCAACGAUUUGGGCAGCAAUGAGCCACGGAUCCCACACAACUGCCCCAUAGAACAUGACUUUAUAUUUACCUCUCCCACAGAUUAAUCAAAAUGUACUAACUCAGUACAAUCCAAAAGAUAGUAUUUCAAACCCCUCAAAUUCUUCGAAACAAAACCCAAAAUAAUUUCACAAGUGAUCAAAAUAAACCAAUCUCUGAGAUUGUAAGUGAAUCAAAGGUGAGAGUUUAGGAGAAAACUCGAGACAAAUUUGAAACGGUGAAACCCUAAUUUCAGCAGAUCGAAAUAAAUUUUGAAAGUUGAUCGAGAAGUUUAGAUAUUCAAGCUAUGGGAGAACUGAUAAUUGACAAAUAAAAGGAGAUUAGAUUUAGAUGGGAGGGAAUUUUGAUGGAGAUCGAUUGGAGACAAUAUUGACCCGUCCCGACGCGACGCCAGUUAGAGUCUUAGAGAGGAACCUGAAACUUUGUCAAACCAUCGUUUGCAGAUUAAAGACGUUAAAUAUUAGGGUGUGUUGUACUUUGUAGAUUCUUUUGCCUUUUCUUUUCAUUUAAUUUUCUUCAAUUUUUGAUUUCUAGAUUCUUGCCUUUUCUUUUCAUUUAGUUUUCUUCAAUUUUUUGUCUUAAAUCGUAGAAACAAAGCUCUUCCUAGUUCCUUCCCCUUCAAAAAGAUUGAAAUAAUAUAUAUAUAUAUAUAUAUAUAUAUAUAUAUAUAAUGCUAGCGGUUAACUUUUAGUGACAGAUAAAAUCGUUGCUAAAUCCGCGUCUGAGCUCGAUUUUAAUAACAAUUUUGUCCGUCGAUAAAUUAAUACGAGAUCGUUUAGAUUUUAAAUAUAAAUAAUUAGUACUUUUUUUUAAAAUAUAACGAUCGAGGCACUUUUAACAUUACCUGGUGCAAAAAUAUAACCUAGUUAUGUAAUAGCUUGGGAGUAAUAAUUUUAGUUCAUUUAAAAUCAAUAAGAUUCAUUAAUUUUGAAGAUGUCGUAAAUUGAUAUUUAAAAUGUAACAACUCUUAUUUUGGAAGAAAUGGCAAAGCAAAGCAGUUGUUAUUGUAAAUCUAAUUUAGUUUAUGUUUUUCAUAGUUAUUUGAUAUAUUGAUGCCCGGUCUGUUUUGUUUAAUGGUGAAUCAGUUGCUAUGCAUGCAGUAUUCACUUGGGAGAAGCCUUCAGCGCUGAACUUCAUUGUAAUUAAGCCAAAAACGGAUGUUAACUUAGACCAGACCAGUGGAUGGUUCAAAUGGACAAUCCAUCCCUGGUUGAACAUAAUCAACAUUCUUGCUGCUGCAGCUGAACUGCCUUCAAAAGCCUCCCAUGUUUUUUUUAGAUUGAAUACCUGAAUAUAUAAAGAUAUACAAACACAUAUAUGUAUGCAAAAUUGCAAAUGUACUACAAAUUGUCCUUAAAACUUGGAAGCAACCUUUUUCGUCCUGGUAGUUUUCUUCUUCGCAGGAACUGUGGCGUUGCUUUCCUUGACACCUUUCUUCGGAUCCACAUGGUUUUCGGGAGCUUUUAUCCGACUCCUGAGUCGUAAUAUCUCACCUUUUGCAGACGCUACUUCUUCUUCUAGUUUCUUUGAUUUUUUCUCUAAUUUCUCCCUCUCCUUUCCCAGCCUCAUCACAAGGUUAUGGGCGUCUUCCAAAUUUUCUUUGGCUUCUUGAGAGAGUUGCUUUUGCUCAGCAAGGGCCUCGUAGUAGACAUCUUUCUCGUCCUGAAGGCUGGAAAUUUGAUGAUUAGCAAGCUCUAGAUCUCUCGAAAGUAUCAGAUUCAUCUCAUCCAGUGAUUUGGUAGCUUUUUCCAAAUUUGUUUCAAGAGAUAUACGUGCUUCCUUGUCUUUUAGAAUCUGAGACUCCAAAGCUCUUAACUCUUUGCUCAAACAAGUAACAAUCUUCUUUUCCUCUUUUAGAUCCUGGACUGCACUUUCUGCUUUCUUGUAAACAUCAACCAAUUCCUUCUGUAGGUUCUCACCAUUUUCUACCGCAACUGCCAAUUCACCUGACACGGUUUGCAUUUCUUCCUUUGUUUGCUUCAGACCCUCCUGCGUUGCUGUCAGCUCACCAGCUAAGUCUUCUGCACUUUGAUUUGCCUCUACUAAAUUCCUCUGUAAUGACACCAUAGCUUCAGCAGACUCGGCCUGGACUUUAGAAAUCUCUGCAUUAAGCUGUGAGCACAAGUUGCUAGACUGCUGCAGUUGUUUCACCAUAUCAGAAACCUCAUUUUCUGAUAUCCCUAGAGCUUCCUGCGCAAGUUGGACCUCCUGCUCCAGAUUGUUUACAGUUUUCAAUUCUUCGUCGAAGCUUUUCUUCAAAACAUCCCUUUCCCGGGACAAAUCAGCAACCAAGACUUUCUUUCUGCUUCCUUCAUCUAAAGCAAUCUCAAGCUGUUCUUUUAGAAGGUGAAGUUUUUUUGCCCUUUCUUCCAAAAGCUUAGCAUCAAAAGCGGCCUUUUUCUCUGCAGAGAAUUUCAGGUCAUCGUAUUCCUUUUCAAUGGCACCAAUUUUUCUGUUGGAAUCAUCUCUCUCAACAAUUAUGGAGCUUAUUUGUGCAUUAAAAUCAUGCACUGCAGCAUUCUUGAGCUCUAGUUCACUUUCAAUUUUAAUGAGGUUAUUUUUCAAUCCUUUGAGAUCUGAAUUCAAACCAACUACUUCAUUCUUGUUCUUCUCAUAAAUAGAACUCAUUUUAUUGAACUCCGAUUCUUUAGUGGCAAGCCUAGAGCUGAGAUCACGAACAUUAUCUUCUUUAUCAUUAAUCUCUAAGGUUAGCAAGUUUAUCCUUUCUUGCAAGACAUCAACUGAGUUGAGCUUUUCCUUUAGCUCCUCUUCUAGUUCCUCUUUAUCUUCCCCAGCUUUAGCAAGGCUGGUUGUAAGACUAUCUAUUUGUGCUCUAAGUCCUUCAACAACUAUUUUCUCAUUUUUCAGCUCUUGUCCUAGGCCUGUUAUUGUACUGUUUGCUGACUGUAAUUGGUUUAUUAGGGACUCUCUCUCUUCAUUUGCUAUUUUCAGUUGCUUGUUUCGUUCUUCCUUGUCAUUCAGCAAUUCUGACUCCAAUUUUUUUUGUAAUGAAACAACGGCAGCUUCCUUUUCCUUCAGUUUUACUUCCAUCUGUGCAUACAAUCAAUUGAGAGUAAAUUGGUUAAAAAUAUACUCCAAUAACAUACAGCAGACAAAUUGCUUUGUACUAAAAAACAUACAAAUUGCUGGAACUUGUAAAAUGGAUGACGUGCAAGAAAAUAGGUCACACAAAAGGAAAGCUAACUGCGCAAGCAUUUGAGAUGAGCCGUUAACCAAUUGAAAGUGACAUUUCCCAACAAUCUAGUAAAUUUGAUGGUGUAAAAUGGUUCCUUUGGAAGUCAAGCUCUUCUAAAAGAUUACAGAGGAAACUAUAAGGGUAUUGAUAUGAAUUAGAAUAAAAUAGUAUGGUACUUUCAUGCGCAAAUAAUAUGUGGCUAAAUGUCAAGCACACUGCCAGAAAUUAUUUGGUACUAAUCAUAAAUAUUCCUAAUUUCUGACUCACACAUUCUCUUUCAAACAGUACAUGGCGAGAUAUUUCUUUUAAAGGCUAAAAGUACUUCCAUGAAACAUAAGCCCUCUAAACAAAAAUUGGAGAAGGGAUGAAUAAAAAUAACAACUUACAGAUUCCAGUGUUGCUUCAGUACUGGCCUUUUCCUUCUGAGCCAAAGCAAAAAGCACACCAAGCACGCUGGAACCAAAUAUACCAAUUCCGUUCAGAAGAGCAAGGAAUGGAUUUGGUGAUUCAUCUCCUUGACGUGUUUGCUGGCCACAAAAAUACUUGUAUCAGAGUAUUUUAUACUUGGAAAAUAUACAAAUAUAAAAGUAACCAAAUCCACUACUUUUUGAAUCUCUUCAACAAUAAACUUGGUAGUGAUUUAGACCUCUGCAUUUUCUUUCUGCUCUUGUGUCCUUAUUUCAGAAUCUUCUGAAAUAUGAUGAGCAAAUAUUAGUACUGGUUUGAGAAAACUAUCUGAAGGUUUAAACAUAGACAAGGCUUCUUCUGGAAUUUAAUAUACUUCCACAAACUUUUAGCACAAAAGGAGGCUGAUAAGAAUAAGUCAACUUAGAGUAGAGUAAAAUACAGAAAGAUGCAUCUUAGAUAUUGAGAAGAAAAAGAAAACACUACAUCAUGUUCAACAACGAAUAGUUGACUAGAACCUUCUAUAACAGUGAAUCUCUUUGGUACAGGUGAUAUGGAAAACAAAAUACUUUCUUCCUAAUCAUGAGAUAAGCCUAUAUAAACACACAGACACACACACACACUGUGCGACCAUGUAGAAAAAAUGCAGUCAUUCAGUUUAGAUCCUUAGGUGGAAAAUGCAUUCCAAGAUAGUUUAAGAUGGCAAAUUAACAGAUAUUUUUUGCAUUUGAUGAAAGCAUCAUUGUCAAAGAACACCAAAUAGAGAGGCAUCUGCCAAGGUGGGGCCGGUUGCAAGUUUCAACCAUAAACACUGGCCAUAUUUUUUUUCUCUCUUUGACCAACUUAUGAAUUUGGAACAAGAUUUAUUUCAUUUUAUUCUUAAAUACAAUACUGCUGCAAAAACAUCAUUGACUAUUUGACUCGUCUGAAUCAACUUUCUUUCAAUAAAACAAGCAUUAUCCCUUGUAUAUUUUCUCAUUCAACUAUCAGAUUGGAGCUUUGCCUUCCAUUCUUUUAAUAGAAAAAAUUUAUUGGAAAAGAAAGGCCGGAGCGAAGGAGGGGGGUUGCAUGUAGACAUGUUGUAUACAAAAGGCUUAGGGAAAAUAAUCAUAUGCUGCACUAUGAAGUCAACUACUUAUUCUGACACGGUCCAAGACACGGUCCAAGUUGGAGUCCAAGUAGGAAAAAGAAGGAAAUCCAAGUUCAAGAAGAAGGAUUGAUAUUGUUUUGAACAUAACUUUUGAUUUGUUUGGAGUUACAGGGCCCAUAAUAUAUCAAAUCGAAGAAUGCGACAAGUCCUACAAGAUUCAUCGCCUACGGCCAUGACGGAUACCGUUUGAAGCCCAAAAAAGGCCCAGAAAGAGUCAUUUUGCACUUCCGACAUAAUUAGGUAUCCCAGCUUAUUGUUGAGUAUUUAAAUGAUGUUUUCAUGUGUUUUGAAGGAACUCAUUAUUAUUAUUACUAUUCAGAUUUAUAAAAUAUUGUGGCUUAGUCAAUUUAUCCCAACUUUAAGAAUUCCUGUGAUUGCAAAGUACUUCGAUUCAAUUUAUGUGAUUGUUUCUAUUCUCUUUACUUUCUUCUGUUGUGUCAUAUUCUUUGUGGUUUGUGCCUUGAUAGAAAGUCAACUACAUGACAUGUAAAUAUGCAAUAGCUUAAACUUUAAUGAUGAAAUUGAUACUACUGAAAGACUACCUUAUGCAUAUAACUAAGACACACGAUCAGGAAACCACAAUGAAUAAUAAUAGAGAAAAAGAGGGAGGGUGAUUGGUUAAGAAUAUUACAUCGAAAAAAUCAAACUGAAUUUCAUGUUUGGGUUCUUCCACAUAUCUUUACUGCUCCCUCAGUUCUAAAAUAAAUGUUCUAAUUAGUUUCGACACUCUGAUUAAUAAAAUUUUCUUUUACCUAAAUUACUCUUUUUAAUUACUUAUUAAUUGAAGUAUUUUUUCACUUUUCUAUGAGCCCGAUAAUUACUUUUUUACUUUUCUAUGACCCCAAAAAUUAUUUUUUCACUUUUCUAUAACCCCAAUAAUUACUUUUUUACUUUUCUAUAACCGUAAUUGUAAGACCCCAACUUUCUAUGAAUAAAGAUUUAAUUUUCUUUAAAUAUUAUUUUUGAAUAAUAAGGUGUUGAUUUGAUAUAAUGCUUUAGUUAUGUGUGAAAUGUGCAAAUUUUACAAAGUAAGCAAGUGGUCAUAAAAUAUUCGUUUUGUCGAAAAAUAUUCGUUUUGAUUAGGGGAUAUUCUUUUUGUCGGGAAUAUUCGUACGACGGCGCAAUCAUUGGUGGACGACAUAACGGAAUAACUGUCGUAUAUAAAAAGCGACAGAAAUAAUCUUUUUAUAAAAAUAACGUCAAAACUUUUACCGUUAAAACUGUCGAAAUACCCAGUGAUAAAAGUAUAGUAAUACGCGUGGUUACACAGUGGCACACGGUAUUGCACAGUAUCUCUGAUUAUUGAUUCUUACGUAAGAAGUCACUCAAUAAUUGAUACAGUAAAAUUGCAGUCUUUCAUAUUAUUAAUGCAAUAAUUGCUACAGUGAUAAUUGAAUAGUAAUUUACAUUAUUGAUUCAAUAAUUGUCACGACACAGUAACUCAUAUUAUUGAAAUGAUAUUAUUAGAUAGCAUUAUUGAUAAUGUUUAAAAAGUUUUGUCGUGGGGUUAAGUUAUAUAAUUGCGCGCUAGUAAGGAGAAAUCCUUGUUGGAAAGUCCCCUCUUUCCUAGGAACGAUUUUGUUGUCAGUAUUGUGAAUUUAUAAUAUUAAUUAGAAAUAAUUAUUGAAGAAUUGUAAUAAUUGAUGAAUAUGGUAAGUAAAUAUUUCUUUAAAUUUUGAUAUAAAUGGAGGAAUUUUAGAAUGGGACAUUUGUCGAAAGUUUGUUAUAUUUUCUAUGAAACCAUAAUUAUCUUAUUCGAUAAAAUAUUUAUUCAAAUAUAUUAUUAUAAUAUUACAUUAUAAUAGUAUAAUGUGAUAAUAUAAUAGUAUAAUUUUUAUAAUUUAAAUGGCAAUAUUAUUAUAAUAAAUUUAUGGUAUAAGAAUAAAAUGAGGUGGAAGAGAGCAAAUUGAAUUUGGAAUUCUUUUUUUAAUAAUUAUAAAAUGUUUUAAAACAUGUGAAAUAAAUGAGGGAGUUGUCAUUUUGAAGUUGAACUCUCAUUUUUCAUACAAGUGUGCUGCACCUUUUUCAAAACUUAUGUGCGUAUGUAAAAUUUGUCAAUCCUGGUGUGCUGUCAUUUUCCUAUAAAUAGGUUGCUUAGAUAAACAAUGAAAAUCACACCAGAAUCAAAAAAUUCUCUCUCUAUAAUAUUAAGUGUAUUUCUUGUGAGUAUAAGGAUAUUUUGAGUGUUGAUAGCAGUGCAAUAUUUCCUCAACAUAAUCUCCGUUAUUCCAGUCAAAACUACUUUCCUACUAAGGUAAAAGAUAUUAUUUUUUUCGUAAAUGAUGUUAUUUUCUUUCGAUAUUCGUAAAUGAUAUUAUUUCCUUCCAUACUCGUAAGGAAUAUCAUUUUCUUUCAUACUCCAUAUCAUGUAAGUGAUAUUAUUUCAUCUCAUAUUCCUAAAUUUAAAUUUACUAUUAUUGGUCUGAAAUUUCUUAUUAAAUUUUGAAUUUUUUUCAUGUUUGGGUACUAUUCAUGGGCACUAUUCAUGAGUACUGUUCACAACAAAAUUUAAUUUCUUUUCUUUGUCCAAGUUAUCUUUUGUGAAUCUUAUUCUUGAAAUUGAAUCCAUGUUAUGGUCUCACUUGAUUCAUUCUUAUUGUCAUUAUCAUAAUUCUAAGACUUAAAUUAUGUUGAAAGUUAUCUUUGGCCCAUAGUGCAAAGAUAAAUUGUUGAUUGAUGAAUAUCUUUGGCCCGUAAUGCAAAGAUAAACUGUUGAUUGAUAUCUCUGGCCCGUAGUGCAAAUAUGGACAGGUGUUUGGCAUGAUCAUGACCACUGGUGAUACAAACGAUUAUUUUUGGCCCCGUAGUGCAUAGAUAAUUCGUUGAUUGAAAAUAAUUAUUGAUUGAUGUUACAGGGAUAAAAUAUUGAUGAUGGACUUUUAAAUCAUGGAAGAUAGUAGACAUCAUGCUCUACUCUUCUAAUGGAUUGUUGUUUUCGCUGCAGUUGUUGAUCUAAAACUUGUUGUCUAUUAUAUUCUAUCAGAUUUUUCUCUGUUGAGGACUAAGGAUAAUUUGUUCUACAUUAUCUUAGUCAUAAUAUUCUUUAUUGGGCUAGUUGAGCUCACCCUUUUCCUUUUUGUUCUAUUGUUUUUCUGAGGAGGCGAGAAUAUAACUGAGACUAGUCGGGGUGUGGAGUAAUGGUUCCAGACGGAUAUUAUAGCAGUCCUCACUAUUUUGUAAAAUAGUGUAUCAAUAAUUGUGAUGAGUACUUUAUUUGAGUUUGAAUAUUGUCUACAAGACAAUAUUUGUAUUAAAACUCACAGCACAUGUGUUAUCGUAUUUUGCAUGACAGUUGUAUUAAUGAAGUUUGUAUUUGGUUUCUGUACCAUGUAUUUGACGACUCAGAAUGGGUUGUGUGGACCUAUUUUGUGGGCGUCAUAGUAAUAAUUAUUCUUUCCUAUGUCAUUUAAUUCUCUACAUAAUUUUUUUGUAACUCUCACAUUCCCAAUAAGUAUAUUAAAUAGAUUAUGAGGGUAUAAGAGGAAGAAUAUGAUAAAUAUAGUUACUAAUAUAGAAAUAGAACAUUUAUUUUGGAACAUCUUAAAAAAGAAAUGAGGACAUUUAAUAUGUAACAGAGGGAGUACAAUUUAGGAAUAUUAGAAAUAUUGGACAUUUUCUGCUCCUGCCUACUCCCAACAUAGGCAACAAAAAUUAAUGAAGAUAUUAAAACUAGAGGUGAGUCAUUGCUAAUGCAAUAACUUCAACUGAGUUGAAAACUAUAAACUGGUAUAAUUUUUCUAAUGACGGCAAAUCCAAUAAUAUUGCUAUGAGAAAAAACAAUAUCAGAUUUAGCAAAAAAAAUAUAUUAGGUAAUUACAAAACAACAAUAAAAAUACCCAUUUCACCAAAUUCAUCAAUUUUCUUAAUACAACACUCCAAUUAAGUCGAACUUAAAACCUUAUGUGUAACGACAGUCCCUACUAAGACAUUGAAAAAGAUAAAUACUAAAACCCAACUCACCUGCCAAGCCUUCAACAGCUUCAGCCCUCAACUUCAAAAGAGGAAGAAUUGGAAUACCCGUAAAGAGAAUCGCCCUUCUCUUGCAGAAAACAGUAGUGCCAUUUGGGUCUCCAUUUUGCAUACAAGCCAUGGCUGACCUGUUCUUCCACUUGUUGUCUGCAUUUCUCCGGAAAAAAUUCAAGAAUUCAGAUUGAAAAGAACAGGGCUGAGCAGAGAUGGGGAAGAGAGGGUAAUAGCCAGGAGAGUUCAAACAACUCCCCACUGCAAAACCCAUAAGGUUGUCUUCAAUUUGAGUGAUGAACAAGUGUAGCCCAGAAAACGAAUAAAAGAAACAGUUGUUGGCAUCUCUCGCGAGUUUUUCUUUGUGCUUCUACUUUCCAUCCAUGUGUGCUACUCUAAAGACCUAAAAGUCCUCAUUCAUUUGUGACAACUACCAAUAUACCAUCGUAUUUAAUAAAAUUCAUUCGUAAUUACUCUUGACGGUUUUUCUGAAGUUUUAAUAUAAAAAAUAUAUUCAUUUUUAAUGUUAUCUUAUAAAAAAUAAUAAAUUAUUAAUAUGUAAAUAAAUUUUAGCCUAUAUUAGAUUUAGUCAACAAUAUUUUAUAUAUUAUUAAUAUACGAGACAUGUUUAAAAAAAUAAAAUAAAAUAAAAUCGAGACUCUAAAAUUUAGUUUAUAGAGUUUGUAGAAUUUAGGAAUUUUUAUUUUAUAUAUAAUAAGAUGAUAGGUGAAGAGUAGCUUAUUAAUAGAUAAAAAGUAGUGUGGCAUAAUAACCUAAUGUAGUUAGGAUGACAAUGAAAUAAGUAUGUUUAUAUAAUUUUAUAUUAGUAUCGGUAAAAAUAGAAUGAUGAAAAAAAAUAAAAAUUAAUAAAUUUAUAAUAAAAAAUAAUAUUUUUAUAUAAAAAUCGUUACUAUUUUUUAUGUGAAUAUAUGAAAAAGUGGUGGAAAUAUGAAUUUCAGAAAGAAAAAAAUAAAUUUACCCAUAACCAGAAUCUGCACCCGCCGCCGUACGUUAAAGUUUAAACAUCUUCAUCUCCACUUCUCAUUUCUUCUUCCUUAUCGCAAGGUGUAUAAUUUUUUUUUCAUCAUCGGUGUAAUUAGGGAUUCGCAUUCAGAAAAGUAUAACUUUAUAUAUAUAUAUAUAUAUAUAUAUAUAUAUAUAUAUAUAUAUAUAUAUAUAUAUUUAGGUUCUUGUUCGGUGUUCGAUUUUGAAUAAAAAGUUCAAGAAGUGAGAUCUUCAAUUAGGUUAUGCUCGGAUUAAGGUGAGAAUCAUGGGUUUCUUCUUACAUUUAAGUUUAAUUAUGUUGGAGAGAGGAAAUUUCCUAACUUGAAUCAUCGAUUUUUACGGUGCGGUUUAUGCGUUUUUUUUUUCUUCUAAAUUUUUAUUUUAUAAAAAGAUUCAGUUUUAGAAAGUUAGCCAUUAGUUUUAUUUUGUAAUGGACUUUAAUAUAAUUUGUUCUUGAGAUGACACUUGAGUGAUUUGUUUUGUUGGAAACUAUGUUUACUAGGAUAAAAAUUUGGUGAAUUUAUAAUAAUUGUUAUUUCUGUUUUGGGUAGUGAUUGUACUCUAAACUAAAGGAGAAAUUUUUAGUUGAGAAACAUAUAUAUAUAUAUAUAUAUAUAUAUAUAAAGUUCAAUUUUUGUUAAAACAAUUUUGUAGAUUUUGAGAUGGUCUGAGGCUAUGUUUCUAUAAAAAAUUUGCUAUCAAAAAUAGGUUUUCCUGUUUAAAUUUUUAUUGCUAUAAUUGAUCCUUGUGCUUGAAUGGAUGGCACUGAGGAUGAUGAAAGGUGCCCACAAAACACAUAUGGUAUCAAUCACGGUUAUAGGUCAUCACAACGCGCAAAGCUUUCGGUUCGGAAUGCAUCUUAUCCUCAGCAGGAUUGUAAUCAAUAUACGGAAGGCAAUGACAAUUUGGAAGUCAAAGAAGAUGAAGAGGAAGAAGAAGAUGAUUAUGAUAAUGUUGAGAAUGGCAUUCAGCAGAAUGGCAGGUGUGAUGAUGAUGAUGAGGAUGACGACCAGGAAGAAGGAGAUGAUGAUGUCACAAAUGAUUAUAUUAGGAGGAUUGAAAGCAUUGAUCAAAAUAGACACCAAAAGAAAAGGAAGAUGAAGAGCUUGUUAUCAAGUUAUGAAUUUGCUCCUCGAGUUGCAGCAUCAUCAACAGUGGCUAUUUCAAUGCCAAAGCCAUCUUUUGGUGGGCGGAGCUCACUUUCAGACUGGACUGAACAUGAGACGCUUAUUCUGCUAGAUGCUUGGGGGGACAGGUUUCUUAAGCGUGGGAGGAAGAGCCUUCGUUCAGAGGAAUGGCAAGAAGUUGCAGGAAAGGUUUCGCAGGAGUCAAACCGUUUAGAUACAUUGAAGAAGAAAUACAAAAAGGAGAAGAUGAAGAUAGAGGGAAUUGUUGGUCCAGAAAAUUCAGAAUCUGAGGAAAAUGGUUCAGAUUUUCUUCCACCCAAGAGGACAAACAGAGGUGAUGGAGCUUCUUUCAGAUUGCUUGCAGAUUCUAUUCAGAAAUUUAGUGAUAUUUAUGAGAAGAUCGAGAGUAGUAAGAGGCAGCAGAUGUUAGAACUGGAAAAGAUGAGGAUGAAUUUUCAUCGGGAGCUGGAAAUGCAGAAGACACAGAUGUUGGAGAGAACACAGACUGAGAUUGCAAAAAUACGACAAGGAGAUGAUGAAGAGAAUGAUGUUUCUGCUGAGAAUGUCUGUGGGUGAUGUAUAUCUUUCUCGAAUCCUAUCUAGCGUAUUCACUUCUUGGUGGUGUUGUAUUUUAUUUUAUCUUCAAGGCAAUAAAAUUGUUUUAUUUAUUUGAUUUAAGUAAUACUUAAACUUCAUAUGUCAUUUAUUUUUCUGUUUACACAAAUAAUUUCAGUUAAUUUGUUGUUGUUGUCCUAUUCUUGUUUUUCUCUAUCAAUUUUUGCUGCAUUUGUAUUCCAGUGAUGGCCAAUUUCAAGUUUAUAGCAAAUAAACUAUCCAUCUGUUUUUUGUGCUGGUAAAUUUGCCCAAGUAGGAGCAUGAGUAAUUUUAUAGGUCUCUGGAUAUACCUUCAUAGGUCCAUGUAAUUUAUGACGUGUUUUCAAAAUCAAAUAUUCUAUGUACUAGAUAUUGUGGCAACUAGAUAUAGAGACUGGAAAAAACAGGCAUUUGGAUGAAAAGAUUUUGCCUGGCUGGCCAUGGUGUUUCUUAUUUCUUCUUUCAACAGUAUUUGCAAUUUAGGGUGCAGAUUUAUUUAAUAUAAGACUUAUUAAAACUGAAAUACGGUUCCACAUACUGUUAGAAACUGUGACCGAAGGUUGCAGGGGUUCGGUCCCAAUCAGGACCAUAAAUAUCAAAAUCUAUUUACUAACUAAAUCAUUUUAUUUAACAAUAGUUUUAUUUUAUUUCCAAAUAGUUUUUUUAAUCCUAGCUGCAAAUUUAUAUUGUUGGUCAAUCUGAUAAUAUAAGUUGAUCCAACUUAUAGUUUCAUAUAUAUAGCACAAAAUCCUUCAUGGUACAAUUCAACUAUCUCAGUAGAUUCAAGCAUCUCAAAACUUGGAACCACCUUGCGCUUACGAGCAGUAGGAGCAACUGUAUACCUCUGACGACUUCAUCUUUUCACAAGUCCAAAAACAAUUGAGAUGCUAUAGAAUUUUUACCAAGUACAUCACAUUGUACAACAUGUAUAUCACAACCAUACAUUAUAAAAGGGAAAGAAAAACAAGAAAAAAGGGAAGAGGCAAGCUUUGUCACUUCCAAUUUCCAUAUCCUGAAUAAAUUGCUGUCCAGUCAUCUUCAAAUAUCUUGUUAAUAUUCCUUUGACUAGAAUAAGCCUCAACCUUAGGGAUGCUCUUGCGUCUCAACUGAUGCCCGAGGCAAAUCCUAGUAUCCGACUGUAGUAACCCUUGAGCAUUUCGCCAUUUCCUCAUAUGCUACGACACCAACAUCGGUAACAUUCUAUGCUUCACUUUUUCCCCAUACAAAAGGACACGUCGCUCCUAUUUCACUUCACCUGAAUUUUCUCCACUCAAAAACUUGAGGAGAUGGCAAACUUCUUGCGCAGGUAUUAAUUUAUUAAGAUUUUAGGCAUCAAAUGCUAUCAUCUGAACAUUCUGUCACUCGAGGUAAGCUUGUUUGCAAGAAAUUCUGGAUCCCGCUUCAAAAGGAAACGUAAGAUCGUAUGUUCCUUGUAUGCACCAUCUCUUACAGUUAGUCAAAGGACCAGGCAUCAACUCCUGUGAUCUUAAUAUCUCCAAGCACAAGUGGUCUCUACAUACCUGGAAAACUAAGUAAACCGUAAUUUUAUUACAAUGUAUAUUUAUCUAUAUCCUUGAGAAAAUUAGAUGAAGCAAAUUUCUGGAAAAUAUGAAAACAAAAAUAAACAAGUUAAACCACAUCAGUAUUUUUCUUUCUAUGAUAUAUAUAAUUAUGCAAAGCAUGGCCAGUGCUGUCCUCUAUCUGGAGAAGAGAGUACACACCAGCCUAGGAAUUUACAUUAGGCCAAAUCAGUAAGUUAGAGAACUACACAGCUCUGAACUUAGAUAACCAUCAGUUCAGAAUUUUUUGGUCCAAAAAGUAGGGAAAAAAACAUAGCAUUAGAAGGAACAUAUUAAAGGAUUUAGUCCUUUAAUUAUAAUGGGUCAUUUUGGAAUAUUAUAAAUUAACCUAUGCAUCAGUACAUUCCGGAGUCCUCCCAGUGAACUGAGUUAUCAAGUGACAACUAUUGUUCAAAUUAUCAAUAUACUUUUUCAUCUUUCUACUUCCAAGUGCAGGCCCCAAGAGGAUGUAGUUUUUUUUUUGUUUUUCCCCCUGUUAAUUGAUUUUAUCUUAGCAACGGCGGCACUUGCUUCACCAUCCUUAGAGGGUUGGUCUACAGUGUUCAGUUACUGAGAAAAAUAUGACUAAUCAAAGCGUCUAAUAGAUUGAUAAAUAUCGACUUAAGAGUCCAACUACUUAUCUUGUUUAAUAUAAAUGCUAACUUUUUUAAAGCAGCUCAAGAGUGAUGACUCUAAAUACGCUAAAGAGCAAACACAAUUAGAGCAUGAGUACAUAUAUUGUACCAGGUCGUCUUUCACCAAGUCACAUGCUUCUGAUCUUCAUCAAUCUUACCCACAGCCUCAAGUAUUGAGGAGUACGUGAUAAUAUCAUAUUCAAAACCAAUUGAAUGCAUCUCUUUCAUCAGCUUUGCAGCCUCCUCAAACAUACCAGCACGACUGAGACAGCCGAGAACAGUGUUGUAAGAGACAGUAUCCGGCUUUGUUUGUGAAUUCUUCAUCUUUGUAAACAUGUGGACUGCCCUUUGCGGGCCCCCAACUCUAGCCAAACCAUUGAGAAUUAUAUUAUGCGAGUUUAAGUCGGGGGUGCAACCAUUUUCUUCCAUAGUACGAAGCAAGGAUUGAGCUUCAUCUAUCAAGCCAGCCCUCACCAUUCCUGACAUGAGCGCAUUAUAUGUGUACACGUCAGGGCUGCACCCAAGGUUCUUCAUCUCAUUAUAAAGAUCUACAGCCUCACUCAUACGCCCACAUUUACCAAAAUGUUUGAUCAUUACAGCAUAUACCCGAGCACUAGAAGAUCCACAAUUCUCCUUUAAUUCUUGAAAUAACUCAUUUGCAGCUUCAUACCUUUUGGCUCUUCCAAGAGCAUUGAUCAGGCUGCAAUAGGCCGCUGGACAAGGAGGAAAACCCUUUUCAUCCAUCUCCUCGAGCAACAAUAAAGCUUUCUCUACUCUAUUUGUCUUGCAGAAACCGUCAAUGAGUAUAGAAUAAGUAAAAGAGCUAGGCACAAAGCCAUUCACCUUCAUCCUCUCAAACCAUGAAGAAGCCUCAGAUACUGGAGCUUUGGACUCAAAUAGAGCUUUUAUGAUAGUGUUAUAUGUCACCACAUUUGGUUCACAGUUGAAGGAUUUCAUUUCUUCAAAAAGCUUCAGAGCAUCAGCCAAACGACCGGCCUUGCCCAAAAGGUUUAUAACAUUGUUUAUGAGCACAACAUCUGGCUUGCAACCCUCGUUCAGCAUAUUCAAAAAUAUGUUGUAGGCCUCUUCAGCUUUUCCAGAUUUCCAAAGCCCCUUUAUUAACUCUGUGUAAGUAUAAACAGUUGGGGCACAACCCUUUUCUUUCAUCUCCUGGACUAAAGUAAGAGCUUUCUCAACCCUACCUGACUUGAAGUGAAUCCCCAGUAAAGUCGUAUAUAUCUUUGCGGUGGGAUGUAGCCCAUUCUCUUUCAUUUCAUCAAACAACCUAAUAGCAGAAUCAUCACGACCCAAUUUCCCAAAAGAGGAUAUAAGGGCACUGUAUGUAAAUGAGUCGGGGAAACAAUUUUGUUCAUUACACAUCUCAUUGUAAAGUUCAUGAACUUUCUCAUGAUGACCUUCUUGCAUCAGCAUCAAGAUGAUUGAGUUAUAGGUACUUACAUUUGGUUUGCACUUGUGAGCUUUGACUUGGUAAAAAAUAGACAAUGCCUUAUUCACCAUCUUAGCCUUACCCAAAAUUUUCACAAUUUCAGAUAAAUCAACUGGAUUAAUGAGACAUGUUGCGCGAACCAUGUCUUGAAUCGUCUUCCACAUUUGCCCAACCAGUCCAACAUCAUCGAGACAACGAAUUAGAGCCAUGUAAGUGGUAGAGUCAUGCUCAAAUUUCCUUCUCUUUCCAGCCCAGUUGAAAAACUGGAUCUUAACAUUGAUCUCAACAUCUAUGCUCAAUACCUCACAAACCAAUCUAUGAUCAACUUUCAGCUUUAACACCUCUAAAGCCUUUUCUGCAUCAGAUCCCCACUUAAAUAUCUUAAGAAUCCUAAUGAAUCUUUCAUCCAAAGUCCUUGCUGACCUGUUCCUCUGCGUUGCUGUCCGAUUUAUGGCGAAGUUUUGUGUUUCUUCUAUUGGACUUGACAAGCGGAACAUUUGGACAAUUUCAGUUUCUAAUAAGAUAAACAAGUGAGUCUCAUCAGAUUAUUUGUCUUUCUGUUCUUCUUCUUGCAAUACUAAACCAAGUGAGAUGAAUAUAAUGUUCAAAGAGUAUACAACAGAUAAAAAUAGAAAAUCCAUCAAUAGACACAAAUAGUAGACAUACAAAAAAAUAAUAAUAACAGUCAACCAAGAAAGAAAACAAAGAACCAAGUUGCAUACAUAAAAAAUCUAUGCGCAUCCCCUAUCUUUAUCUGUUGAUACAUUAGAUACUCGAAAUCUACCUGUUUGCUUGAUUCUCUGACAAUAAUAAGGCAAAGUUGAUACAGCCCGUCGUGAACCAAUCAGUCCUGUCAUCAUUUUGUUAAUUUGUACCUUCAGUAAAUCACAGCACUGCUUUGACAGCUGGACUCAGUUUUGGUAUAGAUGCUAGUUAUGAGGGAGGUUAUUUUAGCUCACUGUCAGAGAUCAAAUGGUAAUAUUUCAACAUUAGCAUGAUGAGAAUGGAAUAGAUAUUCAGUCACUAUUAGCUGAAUUAAUCGAUGAUAAACCAAAACUCAGCUUAACAAUAUACAAGAAAAUGAUUCCCAAGUAAAUAAAGAAACUUGCAAGUUUAAAAAUUCCCAUAUCCCAAAUAUUUGGAAAGAUAACUCUGAAUAACAUGAACCCAUAAUUCUACCCUUCUUAUGCACUGAUUUCUCCAAUGAUAACCGACUCAUGUCUUCAUGAAAAUUACCAAAAUUUAAUCCUUUAAUGCUUAUGAGUAGUAAAAUAAAGUAACUUUUACUUAUUAAAGUUUCGCAGUAGUGGUACGAGAAUUGAGACAACAAAAAUAUUAGAAAAUCAAAUGAAUAACACCGCAAAUGCUAGCAUGAUUCCUCACUCGAGAACACACAUCAAAUUUUGAUACACGAGUAUGUAUAUAUAUAUAUAUAUAUAGAGAGAGAGAGAGAGAGAAAGAAAGAAAGACGGAGAAACAAAGAGAAUUUAGAAAGAGAAAACAUACUAACAAAUCCAUAGACUCUGCUGCAGGGAAACACAAAUCCUAAUCCAAUCCAAGAACUAGCAGGAAGCCAGGGUUGAGGAAAAGGGGCAGGGCAAACGAACUAGGUCGUGAGAUUUUCCUACUAUUCCUUCUGCCCGCUCAUGUUUCGCCCAACUAACUAAUCACCAAAUUUAUUAAAUUAUGAUUAAUAAUUCUCUUAUUAUUCUUAGCAUAUCUGAGUUUUGUAUUAUUUUUAUAUUUUAUUUAAAGUAAUAUGGAGUAUUUAAGUUCUUAAAUUUUGUGUUUGUAUAGGAUUAUCUUGGGAAUAACCGGGAUUGAAAAAAAAGUAGUAGUAUUAGUAAUUGGUUUUGACCGGACACAUAAUCUGAGAACAAAACACUUGAAAUAAAUUAAAUUUCCCCCCUCUUUUAUAUCCAUCUAAAAUAUUUGUCGAAAUUAAAUUGUGACCGAUAAAUUAAAGUACUUAAAAUUCAAAUUAUAUUAUUAAUAAAGAUAUUGAAAAUUUUCCAAAUUCUGACUUGAAAAAAUAAAUCAGCAAAGCUCCCAUCUUUAGACGAAGAAAAAGUAGUACAUCGGAUCGAUUGAGACUUUUAAGAGGCAAAACCCUAAUCACUUGCUUUGGUGGUUUCAAAAAUAAAAUAACAAAUGGGUUAUUAUUUAUGCGGUCCAAUGCAAUUUAUAGGUGGUUGUCUCGUUUCAUCAUAACGGUGAAAUGAUAUUAUAAUCAAGCAAAAGAAGUAACUUCAAAUCUAAAUUAAUUAGUACGUAGGAUGGAAGAAAGAAAGAGAAGAACAGGAUUAAAAAAAUGCACAAUAAGAGAACACCAUCCCCAUAAUUUACUUGCAAUAAAGACAACUAAACACAUAAUUUACUUGCAAUAAUGUGACUUCGUCCUUCACGACUCUACCAAGAACGAACCAACCAACGUAGACGAGAAUAAUGAGCUCGCUAACUGGCUACCUGUGGUCAAAACACCAGCCCAGCCAGCCACCUAGCAAAGUGAGUAGCUGGUUAAAAGCCAGUAACUAAUCUAUUUUUGAAACUGGGCAACCAAUAUAUUCACUUAGAAGUAAGAGCAUAUAUAAAAGCUUUCUGAUAACUUUAAAACAAUUCUCAAAAAGAAGAGUUGUUGGCAGAUCAGUCUCUCUCUCCCACACACUUCUGGAAAACAGGUAUCAAGUAAAAAGUAAUAAAAUUUAGCCAACCCAUCCCAUGAAAAAGUAUGGAUUUACAGAUCCAACCUAUUUAUACCAACAAACCACCGUAGAUCCCCCACUCAUCAAAAUGUGAAAGUUGUACAAAAUGAAGGGCAACUUGUCAAGCUUAGCUUAAUAUUUUUAACAAACAAAAAACCGGUAACUCAUUCAUCCAUCUCGGAUUUUUCAGUUUCCAUUGGCUCUCCAGAAACUGGUGGUGCCUCGGUUUCAGCAGCAUUCUCAUUAGAAUCCUUGUUUGGACUGUCAUAUUUUUCUGCACCCUGAGGAUGAUCACCCCCUUGGCUAGGUGCUGGCGAAGCUUCCGGGGUGGCUGGCUUGACUGGCUUAGGUUUCGUCAUUAUCGGCCUGCAAAACCUGUACAAACAAAAUCAUGUAAAGAGUUCCAACAGCAACAGGCAUCGCUAAACAAAUUACUUCAUGACUAAAAACACCAAUCACAAUUGGGUCUCACAACAAACACUGACCAAACAAAUUUGACUUCUACCAACCACUAAAACCAACCGGUGUACAGAAGAAAUGGAGAAUAUGCACGCACUAAAAUCCUAGAAGCUGAAACCCAAUCGGAUAAGACCCCUCGUGACAUCUUCUAUCAAAAAAAAUUAGGGACUAAACUGUACCUGUCCAGUGCUUCAGCUUUUUUUCUUACAUCAGCUGACAAAAUAGCUGGAGUCGAAUGUUUGGGUAAAGAUUCCUGUUGCUGCUGCUUCUCUCUUAACCAAGCCUCUGCUUCAACACAUUCAUUCAAUACCUGAUGCAUACAGACAAGAAUGAGAAGCAAGAGACACAUAAAUUCUAAAGUAUGUGGAAAAGAGAUUCUUUUGACAAAAAAUUACCUUCUGUUUCUCUGCUACUUCAAUGUGAUCAAACUUAGGAUCAUUGGACAUUGCAGCUUCUCUGUAACUAUUAAUACAAUACACGAGUUGAUCAAUAACAGCUCCUCUUUCCGAGUGCUCCUUAAACCGCACCUCAAUAGGGUCACCACGCUGCAAGUUAUUCAGUUCAAGUUAGAAACACAAUUCUAGAAAUUGAAGUAAAAAAGGCACUUGGCAUGGCAACCAACCUUCUUGAGCUCUUCAAGCUUGGCAAUAUAAACACCCUUUGUUUCAUCCUCACCAUCUUCAUACAACCAAUCUUCCACCUGCUGAAGGAUAGCGGUGAACUCUUCUCUCUCCGGAUCAGUAACAAACUCCUGAUAUUUGUCAUGCAACUGAGGAAAAAACAAAAAUGUGAGACCAAAUGUCCAAAGAAUCCUUAAAUUCAGUUCAAUACAAGAAUAUCUUGUACCUUGUUUCUCAUUUCAUAGACAUAUGCCUCCACGGCAUUCUUUUUAUCUUUAGUUUCUUCCAUAACUCUAUCUUGCAAUGCCAUUUCAAAUUCCUUCUCUACUGCUUUCUGCACAUCUGCAGGUAUAAUUCCCCCAUAAACCAGCUCUGCUACAGGUAUGUUUGUCUUUUUCACCUUCUUCUUUGGAACCUCAACCUUCAUUGCAGAACAUUAAUCCGUUCAGUGCAAGGGGAUUAUAAAUGAUUCUAAUAUCUUAAGAUGGAUACAUUAGACAUAACAAUGAUGCAUGAUGUUAAUGCAUAUGAUGAAACACGAAAACACAUUUUUCGUAGGAAUCACGACUGAAACUCAAAUUAAUAAAAACUGCUCGUUCCCUUCCAUAAAACAAAACCAACAUACAGAAACAGUUUGGUGAGUAGAAAUAAAAGUACAUCCUUCCAUCCCUCAAUUUUUUAAGAGUUAAACUGCAAUUUCCCCAAAGAAAAAAAACUGUCAACCAGAGUACGCUAUUAAAAAAGCCCAAUAAGGCAUGAAAACAAAAAACAUUUUAGCAAAUCAAUUUACUCAAACUCACAGCUGAUAUAAAAAUAGUGCAAAAAGGUGUGAAGGGCUACAACCUAGCAUCUAUUCCACUAAUAAGCUACCCCACAAAGCAGAUAACAUAAAAUAAACAUUUCAAGUUUAUUAAGUUGUUCCAACUACUCUUAACAUAUGUGCUGAUUUUACUAAUCGAACAACCACCAUCUACUCUUGCAAACGCAUUUUCUUUGUAUUGUCACUCCGAAAGUAAAGGAUCAGUUCAUUAUUCUGCUACCAUUUCUAGGAAUUCCAUCAUCUGCUCUAUUCCUCAUCUUCUUCAUUUCCUCUAUAUAAGCUCCUUUACAAUCCUUUGUGCCAUUCUGGCAGAGUACAAAGUUGAUCAAAAUGCAAUUAUCAAUCCUUUGUGCCAGAACAUUCCCAUCCAGAAUAUAAAACUAGAUAGGUAGCAAACUUUCUAUGUUUCAUAAGUUGAACAAUACCUCAACUUUUAAGGACCAAAAUCAUGACAUUUUUUGUAGUAAAAGAACAAACAACAUAAUUUCCAAUCAGCAGAAGUGUAUCAUCCCUAAUAAAACAUUAUAAAGAUGUACGUGAAUCUGUUUGUGCAUAUAUACGUGCUGUUACAACUUUAUAAUUUACUUGUAUUGACCUUUGCAUCUGUUUCCAUUUGUGCAGGCUUGCCUUCCUCUUCAGCACAAUUCUCAGAACCAGGAACAUCAGUAGCACCCUUAGCAUCUUGCAUAUUUACAUCUGUUUCUGUAGCAGGAACGGCUUCAGCUGGAGCUUCCUCCGUGUCCAUCUUAGUGGCUUCCUUUGCUGAUUCUUUUGUAACUGGCACCUCAAUGUCCUCUUCUUCCAAUAGCUGGAAUGUGAAUUAAUGAGAUAGAUUUAUUAAAGAACUGCCUAACUUAACAUGUAUAAUUUAGGAACUACAAAUCUCAGUAUCAGCAGAACUUACAGUUGCCGACUCAACCGACACAAUUCCAUGCAGAUUUAGGCGAACCUUAACCUUUACUUUUGCCCUAUCACUCUUUGUUGAUUGGAAGGGACCAAUCUGGCCAACACAAUGAAAAAAACAACCAAAUAGAACAUAGAAUCAACAAAUAAUUCUGAAACAAACCCGUAACUAUGUUCCGAAGAAGAGAAGUAAAGGAAAAGAAAUGUGCAUACUGUAUAUGUGCUGAUCUUCGCAGGUGCCUGCAGUUCACUAACAUCAGCAUACAGUACAUCUAUUGUGAAUGUUCCAGACCUGUAAAAUGUGAGCGCCUUCACACUAGGUAUUGGAUUUCCUUUGGGGAAAACAAUAGUACUUUGUUGAUUAUCUACAGCUCCAUUCUGUGCAUCUGAAGCAGUGCCUUUCCAUGACAAAGCAAUUGAGAAGGGAAAGCUCUCAUUAACCUUCAAAACCAAGACCAAGCCAGUUGUUGGACAAUGAUUUAUAUAAUAAAUAAUACAGCGUGAGGUCUAACACAUAAAUUAUUUGUUCAAAGAAACAUACAUAGAUAUGUCUGAUACAUAUCCAUAUAGAUAUAGUGAGGUGCAAUUGGACGAGGUUUACUAUGAAUUCACUGGGACCAAUACUAUUACAGGUAAAGACACUUGAUCAAUUGAUCCUUCAUAACACAUCAAUUUAAAUUAUUUAAUUUUUUUUUAAAAACAACUUUACUAGGAGGAAUUCUCAACUCCACUACCCUGACAAAGUGGCACAAGUAAACAGCUGUUAACACCAACCAUGAGAUAACGUUCUUAACAUAACAAAUAACAGUACAUGAAAGAAGAAAACAACCUCUGCAGACUCGCCAUGGAACAGAUGUUAAAGCGACAGAACUAAACACAAAAACCACAAGACAUAAUCCAAAUGAUGAGAUACAUUUUUACCUGGAAUUCUCGCACUUUAAAUGUCGGACUAAGAAUAGCACACUCUAGAGCACAUCCUUUAGCAACGCACUCGCUAGCAUUCAUUGUACGCCUAGGCUCCUUGCCAAAGAACUCUGUUAAAAUCUUCAUUAUAGCAGGAACACGAGAGCCUGAACCAACAACCUCAACAGCAUAGAUGUCAUCCACUGUUAACCCAGCUUCUGAAAGAGCCUUCUCCAAGGGCUUCUUCACGCGUUCCAAUAUUGGAGCGCUAAUUUCCUCAAACUCAUCCCUCUUGAUGAAACCUCUAACAUCCUUCUCAUCCAUCAAGCACUCUAUAUUCAGAGGUGCCACCGGAUUGGCACUAAGAACCUUCUUGAGCUUCUCACAACCAGCACGAAGUCUAAGGCAAGCCCUUGCAUUUUGGUAAACAUCGAUCUUGUACUCUGUUUUAAAUUUUGCAGCAAAGUGCUGGAAGAGAACUUCAUCAAAAUCUCUCCCACCAAGAGAUCUGUCAAAUGAAUGGGCUAAUAUCUUUAACUGGCCUUUCUUCAAACCAGCAAUGCAUACUUGCAUACUAGCAUGACCAAUAUCGACAAAUGCAACAUUCAGCUGGUCAUUCUCAGGUAAAUCCGUCUUAUAGAUACCAUAUGCUAGAGCAGUAGCCGUAGUUUCAUGAAGUAGUCGAAGAGGGUGCAACCCCACAAUUGUAGCGGCAUCUAGAACAGCUCGUCUUUGAAGAUCAGUGAAAUAAACAGGUAUUCCAAUGCAGCAAUCCACCACUCCUGCAUUCAGGUUCUUCUCUGCUAUGCUUUUCAGAUCUGAUAACACCAUUGCCAAAACUUGUGUAGGCGUAAAGCUUCUCAUUUCUCCCAGAUACCGCGCAUUGAUCAAUGGAUAUCCAUCAGGACCUUCAGUCACAGAAAAUGGUAGUAACUUGAUAUCUCGCUGCAGCUCAGGGUCUGAAAACUGCCGUCCAAUUAGCCGCUUUAUCUGAGAAAUUGUAUUCUUUGGGUUCAUCAUACUUGAAGCAGCACCAGCUGUUCCAAGGAAGCGCUGCUUAUCACCAAAACAUACAAGAGCAGGAGUCUCCCGUUUGGAUUCAUCAUUGAGUACAACAUCAAUUCCUCGUUGCCUUGCAACUGCAACAACACCACUCUCGUUCCCAAUAUCAAAACCAACCACGCUCAUCUUUGCCAAGUUAAUAGCUUUUGCACACAAAAACUCUCUUCCAACAACCUGAAUUAAGCACAAAGAAACCCACGUUCAAAGCUCAAUGAAUCCUAUAAAUCCCCACAAUUUUUCCAAUUAUAAUGAUUUUAAGCAAUUUAAGCAGAUUCAAGUGUUUAGAAAAACUGUCAUAUCUCAAGACCCUAUCAACACUAUCUAAAACUAUCAAAUCUGUAUAAAUGCAAUUCAACUAAUGUUAUGCUUGAUUGCAAGCAACUUGUGCUGGGAGGAAAUUCAAAAAGAUUAAGCUUCAGUUCCAAGUCCAAGGUGAGAAAUCAAUGAACCAUAUGCAAUGCAAAUAUCAGCAAAAUAAUACCUUUAACCACCCAUGCCAAAACUUAUCCCAGUCACUCAGUCAGCAUACUAAGACCUGAUUUAUAUUGUAUAUAAUGUGUAUACAUGCAUUUAGCAGAUAAGAACCUAAUGAAUUCCGACCAUAUCAAUAUAAUGAACCUAACGUAAUGUAAAAUCUAAUUAAUAAGAAACCUUGAUCGACCCUUUGUUCAUAUGAAGUUAAUAACUCAAUACGACGGAAUUUAGUUGAAUGCAGUAGGAGAACGAAAAAGCUAGAUUAUAUAAAUCCAUAAUCAAGUAAACAGUGUAUAGAUGAAAAAGUCUAAAAUUAGCAGAUCUGAAACUUGAGGAGGGAUUAGGUCACUUCAGAUCGUACCUUUAGACGAUAGUGCUAUAGAGGAUCGACUGCGCCGCUGCUUAGACGGCCUAUGCUAGAAUUCUCCUUGGAAUUACUUUUGCGAUCGUGUAGAGACGAGGUCUGAACAAAAUAUGUGUGUUUGUGUGAGAGAGAACAGAGCAAAUAACUUCAGGGUUUUAAAAGAGAGGCUUAAGAGUUUUGGGGAAAUUUAAGUAAAAAAAAAUACUAGUACAAAUUGAAUGACGAAGUCAAGCGGUCCUGGAUGGAUGUGUCUAGGAGGAACUUUAUUCUUCUAGAAACGUCUACUGGAAUUUUAGGUUUUUCCAACGUCAACUGAAAGAAUUUUAGGUUUUUGCAAACGUUGGACGAGUACUUCAUAUUGGGCCAGUUCGGGAGGACUCUCGUAUGGGCUAGAAACCCAAUCUCACGUAAUUCGUGCUUUUCGAAAAUUAGAUACUUAAAAUUCAAUUUGUGGAAUUGUAAAUUUUAAAAGUAACAAAAAUUCAUUUGAUUUGAAUACAAACACUUGUAAAAUAUUAUAAAUUACUCGUUUUAUCAAAAUUAAAAAUAAAUUUUAACUUUUAAGAAGGGUUAUAAAUGAGUCGAAUUAUGUGUGAGUCAGACCCUUCUCAUUUAGUUUGAUUUUAAACUUUCAAGGAAAGAGUAUUUUAUUAAAUUUUAUUUUAAAAUUUGAAUUGCUCAACUUUACUUAGAGUCGAGCUUGAAUAGUAGCUCUUUGUCUAUUUAAAUGUACAACUCGGGUUCAAACUAUAUAAAAUCUAACUCUAACUCGACUUGACUCUUCCUUAAGUCCAAUGUAAAUACAAGAAAUAGUUUGUUUAUCAAUCAAUUUGAGCUUGUACAGAAACUUGGGGUUCAUUUAUAUUGUCUUUAAGUUUUUUUUAGUAAAAAGAAAGGGAAAUGAAAAUAAUUAAAAUUACUCCAAAUGUUAUGUUUAUAAGGAUUUUAAAAGGAGAGACCAAAGAGAUUUGUAGGUAAAGUUGAUUUUAUUUUUGGCUCAAAAAUGGAAGGAUUUGGAGGGAUGAGAAAGUUACAUAUUUUAUAUUAUUCAAAAGUAACCUUUCAAAAUAAAUCAGGUCAUUUAUUACAUUAAUAUGUAAAGAUAAUGUAGUAAUAGUAUAAUUUAAAAAUAAAAUAUUUUCCCUUCCAUUCUAAACUCACAAAUAUAAUUAAAAUAUCAUAAUUUUUUUUCUUUUAUAAAACUCACAAACUUGACAAAAAAAAAUUAUAAUUUAUUCUCAUUUAUUUUCUUUCCCUACAUUUUUUUCGCAUUACAUCUCUCCAAAGACGGACAAUAUUAAAACCCAUCAUUUAAAUUUGGUUUGUUUGCAACCCUACGGCUAAGAUAGUUUGUGAAAUUAUUAUAAAAUUUUAAAUUUGUUUCAUUUAAAUUUAGAAGAGUUUAAUAUUUUACAUUUUAUUUUUGAUAAGGGAGAGAAACAACGUUUAAACAUAUUCUAAAACAAUCCUGAAGGCACAGAGAGAGGGAUAGGGAUAGAGAUGGAGAUGGAGAUGGAGAUGGAGGUGGGGACGAAUGGGAGAGGAGCAAGAAGGAAGAAGAUUGUAGAAAGGGGAUCAAAUAGAUUAGCACUCAUCACAGGCCGUAUUCGUAUCCCUAGAUCCUCCUCGUAAUAAUGAAGAUCAUUCCUCAAUUCAUCAUUCCCACACAAAAUCAUCACCUGUUUUCUUAUCCAAUCAUCACGGUACACAUCUCUCUUCCCUUUUCAUACCACUUUACCAUGGAGUAUAAGCUAUAUAUAUAUAUAUAUAUANNNNNNNNNNNNNNNNNNNNNNNNNNNNNNNNNNNNNNNNNNNNNNNNNNNNNNNNNNNNNNNNNNNNNNNNNNNNNNNNNNNNNNNNNNNNNNNNNNNNAUGUGUGUGUGUGUGUGUGUGUGUGUGUGUGUGUGUGUGUGUGUGAUUUGUGAGGGCACAACACAAGAUAGAGAGAUGUUUAGGUAAUGAGAAAAAUGUAAUAGUUGAAUAAUAAAAAUGGCAGAUCAGAUAUUAUAAAUAAAACCACCCCGUACUGGAAAUUGAAAACUGACUUUCAAACCACAAAUCCCUCCUUUACUACUGAAUCAAGAUUACUACCAAUAAAUAAAUUUUGUCCUGCAACAUUUUAUUAAUUCAAAAGGGAUAGAGCAUGCAUUAGGUUAGAGGUAACCUUGUUUUUGUAAUACAAUUUGAUGGGUUUAAAAGACCUCUACUUGAAAAUAAUAAUAAUAAUAAUAUUAGGAUUUGGUUCCGGCAUGUGUCAGAAUAUGAUCAUUUCGAGUGUCAAGGUUUUUACCAACUCUCUUUCCAAAAUCAGAUAGUGUGUGUGACAAAACCCGAAAAGAAUCAUUGGAAUGAGUUUGUUUAUCAUCUCAUUAAUCUAUCAUAUCAGUUCAGGCAGCUGAUUCUUAUAAUUUUUUCAGUUAAUCUUAUAUAUUUUCUUUUAUUAUAUUGGUCUUGCAGUUGGUGGUGGAGGUGAACAGGAUGUCGGUGAUGGAGGAAAUGCAGUUGAUAUUGGGAGCAAAGUUGAACCACAAAUGCGCAAAUGUGAGACAAACACAAAAGCUAUACGAGGAGGAGCUCUUGCUGCUGUGGAAUUUGGAGACAAAGUAGUACAACUACCACCUGUCACUGCAACAGUCCCUAAAGCAUCAGAUGAUAUGAAGAAGGAGCCUCCUUCAGAAUCAAGUGGAGCUGGAAAUUAUUUCUUUACCCCCAAAGAGAUAAGUUGUUGCAUUCUGGCUACAGAGAACACCAGAGUUUUCUGCUCUAUCAUGAUAGCUCUUUUGGUGAUUCUAUCUUAUGUUAAUCUUUCCACAGCCGAAGAAUAUUAUAGCCUCUAGGCCUCUUUAUGUACUCUUGCUGACUGAUUUUUCAGUUGUUAUUGGACUCCUAAUUCUUGAAAAGCGCAGAGGCUCUGAAAAGGCCAAGGAAGAAGAAGUCGAGGGUUCACAGGAGGAUGAACAUAAUUGGGGAGGAGCUGUUACGGUUUUGGAAUUGGGUUUGGUGCUGCACCAGGCAUUACGUGCUAUUUUCAUAGACUGCAGUUUCUAUGUGGUGAUCGUGGUCUGUGGCUUUUCUAUGAUGUAGUUGUGCUUUCAUCCAUGAUACAACUCUCACUCGUUCAUGUCUGCUGGAGUCCACUAAAUUUUUUUCUAAAGUUCAUAUGAUUCAAUUCAUUCGUUCAAAAUUUUGCUAGAUGUAACUAACAUGAUGUUGUUAUGCUUGUAUUCGUUCAAAAUUUUCUCCAUAACUCGUACUUGAAAAUAAAAUUUUUAUUAUUAUUAUUAUUAUUAUUAUUAUUAUUUGAUGAGUUUUGCAUCAAAAGAUUGCAUGUUCUUAUUAAGUUGGGGACUUACAGUUGAGUCCAAACUUCUUCUUAUUUCUAUCAAUAUGCUAAUUCUUGAGCUCAGUAUUAAAUUAGUUACCACAUACAUUUCCUUUCAUUGUAAAGUUGUCAUGACUCGCUAAUUAUCCCUUUGAAUCAUAAUAAGGUUGUCACUCGUCAAGAAUCACUAAUUACCUAUCAAGUUCUUUACUUUUAUUUUGAACUUGGAUUAUUAAAUUCUUCUUAUCAGCCUAUGACAUACCUUUCUACUUUGUAAUGUAGUUUUACAACUAACCUGACUACAGACUAGGUGAAUUAUCUGAAGUAAAUUAUCGGGUCAAUCAAAAUAUAGUACAACUCUCCCACCCCUUUCAUGACAGAUGUCGUCUAUAAAUGUAGCCAACUUAGAAAAGGGCAUUGACAGUUUGAAUGCGCUCUAUGUUUUACGUUUCACUGCAAAAUUAAAAUUGAACUAAUUUUUUCUACGGUAGAGCUCAACCGGUACCAUUUACCUAUAUAUAUUAUAUGGAGGGAAUAUUGAACUGGCUUCUCUAUUAUUAGCACAUUAUAUUUUGCACAAAGAUAUAACUUUGAUAAGGAAAAUGAAUGUAUUAUUAUAUUACAUAAAUACAAUGUUUCCCCUUGAUAUAUAACAAGAUGAUGAUGUAAGUAUAAGUUGACCACAUACCCUACGCUCGAGAGAUAAGAGUUGCUUGACACCUUCCAGAUAUAUCACUGUCAAAAAGAAUAUUAGAAUUAGUAAAAGAAACCUCUUAUAGCAAGCACAUUCUACUUCUAUGAACCUAUUUUACAGUUAUGAAGAGUUGUCUAUCAUUUUAAUCACUGAACCUUACCCAAUUUCCACUGGAAUAGUUCAAACAAAAAGCAUAUAUUAGAAGAUUCGGUGUUGCAAUUAAAUAUUGAUGGGCCUGAGUAUCUAAUUUUAGAGAUUUAUCAAUUUGCCAAUGAAUUUGGACCAAAACUCAACAAAUAACAGUAGUAAGAAAGCAAAAUGCCUCACCUUGGGGUAACAAUUUUGACGGGCAAUUGUUUGAUCGUGAGUGUUUACAUCGACCUCGCAUGAUAUUUUUACCUGUUUAUGUCAGGGUUAGACAAAUUUGCAUUUUUAAUCUACAAAUGAGGAAUGUGUGGAAAUGAGAUUUAAAGGAAGCAACAAGUGACAUGAUAUUUAAGGGGGAAAAAAAAACUAAAAACAAAAUGCAAGACAAAAUUAUUUGCAGAAGCUAAUCUGAAGUCCCUUAAACCCUCCCGUGCAACCAUUUACCAUGGCUUACUUUGAUUAGUUGAUACAAAAGUUCGAGUAAUAACUUCAAAUUAUGGUUUGUUUCUUGCUAAAUUUGAAGGUUCUAGUUUGGAUAUUGGAAAUAACGAAUGACACGAGCAAGGAAAAGGAAAAGGAAAAGGAAAAAAAAAAACCUCUAAAGUGAACACAUCUAAAUACAUACCUUUAAUACCUAAAGAAUAACAUAAAAGAAUAUUUUUCAAGCAUAACAUAAAAGAAUAUGUUUCCUUUAAGCUAAAUAACUUAAAAACAUGAAUUUAAAGAUACCAGGAUGGGCUCCUAGACAAUCUUACACCCUGUCUGGGAGUUCAAAAUAGGAGAGAAAAGAAAGGAAAGUUAGAGAAAAUAAAAUUCGGUAGGUGUGUCUUGGAGUUUUUUUAAUAAGAGAGAAGAAAAUAAAGUUGAAGAAAACUUGCCUCACUUUCUUCUAAAAGUUUUUGAGAAGAUUGGGAGAAAAAGAAAAACUUGAUAUAGUAAUAUUUUCAUAAUACCAAUUUUUUCUUAUAAUUUUAACUAAACAUAAUUUAUUUUCAUCCAUGUCCUAGGGAUACUAACAUACCAAUAAAUUAAAAGUGUAAAUUUUCUUUUCUUUUUUUCUCAACAUUGAAGAACAACUCACUUUCUUUUCUAUUCACAAACUCCCAGUCAAACCUAAAGAAAACUAUCUCACUUUCUUUAACUUUUCUUUUCUUUCCUUUUCAUUAAAAACUCCUGGAAGCAAUUGUAAAUGAAGCUGGGAACCCUUGUAUAUUAACUCAUCAUCCUUUUAUAUGGUACAUAAUCCACAUUAUAAGUUAAGCGCACUCAAACUAACAAGUUGGCACAUUAAGAAAUAAAUAUAUAAAUAAAUAAAUAAUAAUUAAAAAAAAAACUAACAAGUUGGCUUUCAAGCAUUCUCAGCUUUGCUUAUAAUGCAAAACAAACCACUAAACAAGGCUAAGGGCUUGCAUUCUAUUACUGCUUUAUCAACCUAUGCUUCUUAAAUCAGAAAGAUUCAUAUCACCCCAGAAUUUGCACAACAUCAUUCCUGGAAAAAAUUAUUAAUUGUCACACUUUUAUCAGUACUUUGACAGAUAGUAAUUCACUAAUUUGCUUCUAGUCCUUCCAAAUCAUUAUUCAGUUAUUCUAUUCUCUCCCUCUUGAAAUUUGCUUACUAACUGUAUAUUCGUCAACAUGACAAAUUUGAACAAAUUGUAAAUUACUAUCCAAUGUGUACACAAACAGAUAACAAUAUACAAAUUAAAGAUAAGUGAUUACCUUAAGGGGAAGGUCGAAGAAGAAAAGGCCAAGUUGACCAUCAAUCUGGGUGACGGUAUCAAAGGGAAUGGAACCUCUGACCAAAUCUUCAAUCAACAGAAUUGUAUCUGACAGAACUUCAACUCCAUCAAGCUCAAGCGUAGCAUUAACAUAAGACGAUCCUCUAGCCCUAAUAUGGCCCUGAUCGGACGUAACAAAACCUAGCUGCUUUCCUCUGUACCCGAUCGAGGCAGUUAGCGAGCUGUAAGAGAGAGAGUAAAGAGCAGGGUUUCGAACUUUGACGGUGAGCUCUAGCAUGAUGUCAAGUGAUACAUGCGGGACAGCUUCAAUGUGAAAGCGGCUGAGCCGAAUGCGGACGACGCUUGGGUCGGGAUCGGAGGGCCAGAAAAUGUAGACGGUGGUGGCGAGGAAGAGGAAUGUGGAUGCGGAGAUGAGAAUCCGGCGACAUUUGCAGCGGUCGAUGGCGGGGAUGUAUAUAGGUAAAACGAUAUAGUUUGGUUGUUGGUGGUCAUCUGGGGGCACAGGGUGGUAGUGAGUGGAUGAAUCUUCGAGUUUACCGGGCGUCAUGGCGGGAUUUUACGGGCAUACUAUCCGGUCCGAAUAAACGAAGGUGUAUUGGGCCUAUACGAAGGUGACGGUGGGCUUCGGUUGUCACUUUCGAGAAAGGACUAAACUGGAGUGUUUUUACGAACACUUCAGUCUACUUGAGUCUUUGUUUGGUAUCAAUAUUAUUUUUUUCCUUUUGAUAAUUUGGAUACGUUCCAAAAAGAAAAAAAAGAGGGAAGUAUAAUUUUCAUACACAUUAAAGUAGUAAAAUAAUUACUAGAAGAGAGUAUAUAUAUAUAUAUAUAUAUAUAUAUAUUUUAUUUUUAUUAUCGUCGAGUAGUGUAGUGUGAUGAGUUGAUAUUUAAUUCUAUUUUGAGUAGAGUGAUAAUUAAUGAUGUGACUGAUUGACUAUUAAGGUAGGUAAAAUAUGAUGGAGGGUAAUUUUUUUAGUUUUUAUUCUGGUACUAAACUACCCUUCCUUCCAGCAGAUAAUCACAGUUUCAUUAGUGGUAGAAUUGGUCUUCUUUUUUUUUAGCAUUCACCGCUAGUGGCCAACUCUAUGUUAGUAUAAUAAUACGAAAAUAGAAUUCUCAUAUACAUUUCACAUACUCCUGGAAAAUCGCUAGGAUGAUACUCCCUGCUUUUCACAAAAAAAAAUGUCCCAAAAAAUAUAAGAAGAUAAUUUUCCUAUCAUGUUAGGAUAUAAAUAAGCUUUUUAUUUCAUGGUGUAUGAAAAAUUACAAGAAAGUGGAAUCUUGAAGAUCACUAGCAGGAAUAUAUAGUUUUAAAAUUAUAAAAGCAAAUUAAAGAGGAGAUGAAAUGCAUAUAUAAAUCUCACUAUGAAGUCUCAUUUGAAUUAUGGGGCGUUGAAAUGGAUCUCAAAUUUCUGUACAUUUCUGAACAAGCAUGAGAAAAAUCCGACAUUGACCUGAAAAGCUCUGGCAAGCGAGUUUUUAGACUUGUAAAAGACUUGUCCCGGACUUGAACACAUUGUCUCCUGUAGGCUUCCUCCUCUUCUUCCAAUCUCUUCUUAACUGUUUCCACCACCAACUGCCUUUCCGCAACAUGAUCUUUAUCUACUGCACUCUCUCCAUCCAUAACAUCAUUUGAGGGUGUUAUACGCUGCAUUUGCUUGUUAUACCAGUCUUCAAAUUGUUGUGUUUUGUGGAGAAGCUCUUUCCGAGUGUCCUCGCACUUGUCCCUCAAUUUCAUCUCCUCUACUUGAUAUUGCAUUAUAGCAUUAACCACACCCGCAAAGUUGAAUAUGGCAGUUCUUGCAAGCUCCUCAGGAAGCUUCUCAAGGUGAUCAUGCCAGACCUGUAUGAGGUGCUGAAUUGGGGGAUUUUGAGGCCUUUGAGGGGAUGAAACCUUCUCCUUCAAGUUGUUAUCAAUGGGUAUGAGAUUUAGUCUCAACCAAUUGUUUAGUUCUUUUAUGUACCGUUUUUGUUGGGUCAUAAGUUUCUCAAACUGUGAAUGCCACUCUUGGACAACAGCCCACAGCUGGACAGCUCGCUCAUGGUGGUGAUCGCUUGUUUCUUUGGGAGACUGCGAAAUGUCCAGAGACCACAGUGCCUGAACAAUUUUCAACUGGCUUUGGUGGUGUAUUCGCAUGGUCUCCCACAUUGUAGCCAUCCUGCACAUACACACAAAAUGCUCAUGCUUCAAGUUUAAGAGAAUGCAGAGCACGUACUUUCAUUUCGUUAUUUCCUGUCAAAUAAAUAAGAGAGAAUAUUGUAGAGGAAGUUCAAUGAAAAGGGAUUCCAGGAUCCCUAUCUACACCAAAAAUCAAGAGAACACAAAUGCAUAUAUAAAAUUACAUUAAAAAACCUUCGUACAGAAAAUAUGAUAUUCUGUCCAGCCUAUUAAUCAUAGUGGUUAACAAAAUUCACAUUAGUAUAUUAUCUGUGUGCAUGCACAUUUGUCGCACGUAACUUACCCGUCAACAAGUGCUACAAGUUUUGGGUAUAAUUGCUCAUCACGCAGACGAUUUAUUUCUGAAACAGUUGAAUCCAUGGACUGCAUGUCGACAAUAUAUCUUGUAUGCAGAUGACUUACUGCUGCUUUUGUUCUUUCCAGUGAAUCAGUACUGGCACCACGUUUCUUUAACUUGUUCAGUGAAGCAACUUUUUUUUUAUAAUCAAGUUUCAUCUGCUCUCCAGCCUGUUUAGCAAUAGCAAACAUGCAACUAUUAUAAGUUCUUGAAAGUUAAAGCUAAAAUGAUGCUGGAAAUAAUUUGAAAGCUAAGUAAGAAGAUGCAUAUAUAUAUACUACUGAAGUCCUGCUAUUUGCACAAAAGAGAUGAUGCAAACCAAGAUGGUGUCCUAUGAUCAUAAAAUUCAGUAAGAAAUAGUACGAAGAUGCUUUGUGAAACAGAUGGAAGUUGAAAGAGUUAUUGUAUAUUAUGGAUAGCACAAUCACAGAGAUGAAGCUAACCCAAGAUUGUAAGAUAUACCUUGAACAGAAAAACAACACCUAGAACAAUACCAAAUCCAAAACUAAAAAUGUUGUCAGGAGAUCAUCAGAAACUUGUGCCCGCAUAGUAUUAAUAAAUAUAAACACCCACAUCUUGCUUCUACGGGGUUGGUGCUGCUUGUAAUAUUAUGUAUAUUUCAUGCUAACACGAGGAUACUCAAAUACCCCCUUCAGCACCAGAAUGGAAGUUAAUACCGAUUCUCAACAAUAUAAGUGAAGAACCAAGAGAGACUGGCGACGGAAACAUUGCAAACGGAAACUUGUACAUGUACACAUACGCAACGCAACUUCUUUUUUUCCUUCUGUUGGGAAAGAAACUAGUAAUACAUCUUCAAGAAAAAUAACACAAUAGAUGUGUUAACUCUGCAAUCAAAUGGGAGUCACAUAUCAUCUAGUAAAUUGAUUUGUCAUACAAGAGACCUAAAUUUGGUUGUCCAACUGUGGAAGGUACCUUAGUAUUAAAAUUUCAAAUUAAACCCUCCUGCGCCCCAUGGAAAGAGAUGUAUCGAACCAUUAUCCAUAUUAAGAACUUAAAUGAUGAAAAGUGAAUUACUACGUCAAAUAAGUUAUACCAGAAGGGAGGGGUUGCCAGGUGAGGGAAAUUUAGUCUACAUUGUAAGUAUAAUCCGUGUAAUGUUAUGUGGAUGAAUCUUAAAAUUGUAUCUGAAUAGCAGUGCAACAUACCUUGACUUCAUCAAAAAGCUUUUUCUCCCAUGCUAACAUCUUGUCCAAAACUGUAGCAUGAGUUUCAUGCUCUUCAGAAUCAAAGUCAUCAUCCCCAUCAUCAGUAUUUAAUAAACCUCGAAAAGACCUAUUCCAUGUAAUGACACGCAUGACCCUCGCGGAAUGAUCAAUAUGGCCUACAAAUAAAAUAUCCCAUUUAUAUAAAUGUGAGCAUUAAAAAUUGAAUAGCUUCCCUCCUUAUAUAUUUCCUUCAUUCCGAAAUAUAAGAUCAACUUUUUAGAUUCAAUUUGAGAUAUUUUCAAAUUCAAAAUUGAUGUGAUUCAUUUAACGUUUUGAAAACAAUUUUUUUUUGCAAUUACUAGUAAUUUUAGAUACUUUACAAUUUUCAUAAUUGUUUUUUUAAAAAUUAAAUGACUUCAUGUCAAUUUUGGACUUCAAAAUAUCUCCUACUGACUUCAAAAGGAACAUAGGAAGUAGUUUUUUUUUUCUAUUACAAAAGAUGGUUUCUCUGUACUAUGGUUGCUUACAAUGAUUUUACAAUGCCUCCCCUAUUCUUGUAGAGUCUUAAGCAAAGCUUGAUUACCUUAGUUUUUAUGAAUAUGAGCCUACAGCAAUGAGUUAUUAACAAUAAUAGCUACCACCCAUCCAAAUCUGAAGUAGGAUAGAGAGCAUGCCAAUCACUUGCAUUACACUAAAGAAUGUGAUCAUUUUAGCUUAUUGUGACAUUGAAGGAACAUAGAAAAUCCAGAACCUUUAAACCUAUUUUCCAUCCCAUUUAACCUUGAAUGUAGACAAUAUAGCAUUUGCAGUCACAACUAUAACAACUGAUGACAUAUAACAAUAGUUUAAAAAGCUUUAUAAUGCCACAUCUCAUAUAUAGGAUAUCUAUGUGUAACUAGGAUCGUAAAUAAACAAGCCUAACAGCCAUAGUCCAGCUGAUAGCUACAGACUAAAAAUAAAAGAAUCGAGUUCUACAGAUUAAUAAAUGGUACUAUAUAUUUAAAAAAAAUAUAAUUUAUUAUAUUUUAAACUUUGGAUAUAUGGAAUUUUUGGCAAUCUCUUAAAACUCCACAGCAAACAUAAUAAAAAACCAGUCAUAUAAAAUUGGAUAGAAGCAGUAAAUAAUUAAUGUUAUUCAAAGUCUCAAACAAAAUUAUUCUACUCCAUGAUUUCAUUAACAUUUUGUCAUAUAACUAUAUCUGUAUCCUGCACAUACAAUUAAUGGCUCGCCAAAGGGAAAAGGGCCUUCAAUUUGAAAUGAGUUGGAAUUUCACCAAAUCACUACUGCCAAGGUUGGCUCCUUUGAAAAGUCUAGCUUUAUCAACCUCAAAAUUUAGGUGCAGUACCAAUAAUGGCCCAAAAGAUUUUUGUGGUAGCUGCUAGCUAGUGGAGUAUUACUAAGGAUUCCAAACAGCGUCGGAUUCAUGCCAUCAAAGAAGUUAUGGAAAUCAGCACCACAAAUGUUUUAAAAUUCUGAACUUGGAAUUUCUGAAAAGCAUAUAAAUGCCGAAUUAUCUAUUAUCUGCGAAAUUGGAGUGGUAAUGCAAUCUAUUGGCCUCGAGCAUCUUGAAAACCUCGUGAGCACUCUCGGAAGCCCUGAGAAAACAAUCAUCAACCUCACUGAAUAUCUCCAAAUAUCUCCAACAAGUUCUUAGCCCCAUUGCCAGCUUUACCCACUCUCUUGCCUUCCCCAGGAACCGCCACAUGCAUUACCUUCUUCACCACCUUAGCUGCUGCUGCCGUUGGCGGCGGCUGCGAUAGCUCAGCCACCCUUUCCAUCACCUCCGCCUCCUUGGCAUUCCUCUCAGCCUCAGCAGUCCUCCUAGACCUUUCCUCGAAAGCCUUCCGCUCAAUCUCUUCCCUCUCAAAUCUAGUCUCGUCCACUUCAGCCAAGCUUGGUCCAGGCACAUUCUCCAUCGCCGGAAAAAAGAAAUCCCAAGACAUUCCGUUCGUCUCCGGCCGCGGAAGGGGCGGCAGUUCACGAUCACUUAACGGCGGCGUUCGCGGCGGCGAUGGUGGAGGGAUCGGUAAAUCACCACCCUCAUUUUCAAUCUCUCUCUUUGAAAUCCCACUUUUGACCGUACUAGCACCUCUUGUGCUUCGAUGCCUUAAGCUGUGACCGUGACUCUCCGGAUAGUCGUUCUCAUCGUCGUCGUCUUCUUCCUCCUCCUCCUCCUCGAUGAUCGGGUCGGAUCGGGACAAUUCGGGAUUGGGGAUGGAGAAUUCGGGCAUGGUGGAGGCGCGUUGGAGAGAAGGGAAGUUGGGGAGGGGAGGAGGCGGGGGAGGGAGAUUGUCGUAGGAGGUUUGGGAGACGGCUGGGGGUGUGGUGGAGGAGAGGAAGUGGAGUUCGGCGUGGGCGUAGUCGCUGAGGGCAGCGCCGGUGUUUUUUAAGGCCAUGGUGUACAAGGAGUGAGCGGCGGCGAAGGCAUUGCGGGCGGAGACGGCUUCUUUCAUGUGGUAUUUUCGUUCUUUGCAUCGGGUUACUAUUUCCUCGUUCUCGAUCUUUGAUUGUGUGCACCCCAUUAAUUAAUUAAUUAGAAAUUGAGAUACCUAUAACCUAUAUAUAUAUAGGGAAUUUACUUACAGUUGGAGUGGAGAGUAGAAAUCUGGGUGGGCAUUGUUGUAUAUAUAAAUAAAUAAACUGAUACUCAGGACAGGAUCACAGGACGGGAGGAAAGGGAAGGAAUAUAUAAAUAAAGAAAACUAGAAAAGUGGACCGGACAGGACUUGACUAGACGUCAGUCCAACGCAACUUUCAAUGCAGAUCUGUGUCAGUUGUCGAUAGUACGCAAUAAAAUGACGUCGUUGCAUGUAAAGAUGAGGUAGCUGGGUGGCGAACAAAAGAAGCAGUUAUUUUUAGAAAACCUAUAUUUUCAUUUGUAUUUUUGAUUUACAUGACCAUACACUUAAAAUUCCAACACAUUUUAAAUAUAGAUUAUAAAAUAGAGUGUUUUCAUUUAUUUCAAACGAAAAGGAUCCUAGUCCGGUAGUACCCAAUAAAAUAUAUUUUAUCUUUGGGAAAGAGUUAUUUUUAUUACUAAAAUAAAAAUUGAUUAUCAUAUAUUCAAAAAUUGAAAAAAAUAUCAAUUUCUUUCAGUUUUUGAAUAUAUAUAUAUAACAAGGAUCAAGUGCAUUUUCUUUAUUUAGCAUUCCUCCUUAAAUAGUACUUUUUUAUAGCCGGACUCUCUCUAACAAACUUGUUGAAGGAAGCGAACUAAGAGCGAAUCGGCUAUUUUGACGAUUUUUUUCGUCUAUAGCAUAAAAAAACUGGCUUUCUAUGCUACAGCCGUAAGACCCCAACUUUUAUGAAUAAAGAUGAUUUUUCUAUAAAUAUCAUUUUUGAAUAUUAUAGAAUGAAUUUGAUAUAAUGUUAUAGUUGUGGGUAAUAUUUAUAAAUUUUGCAAAGUACGCAAGUUGUUAUAUAAUAUUCGAUUGGUCGGAGAAUAUUUGUUUUAACAGGAAAUAUUCGUACGACGACACAAUCAUUGGUGGACCCCACAAUGGAAUUAUUGUCGGAUUGAGAAAAUGAUAAAAAUAUCUUUUUAUGAAAAUAACAGCGGAAGUUUUACCGUUAACUGUUGAACUACUCGGUAGUAAAAGUACAGUAAAACGCGUGGUUGCAUAGUAGCACACAAUAUUGAUUAUUGAUGCUUAUGUGAGAAGUCACUCAGUUUUACUCAAUUAUUGUCAAUAUUUUAUAUAUUAUUAAAUCAAUAAUUGAGACGACGAAAUUAUUAAUAUUAUUAUUUGCAAUAUUAACGAUGUCUAAAAGUUCUGUCAAGGAGAGGUUUGGUCACCUAAUUGUGCGCCAAUAGGGAGAAAUCCUUAUUGAAAAGCCCCCUCUUUCCUGAGAACGACUUGGUCGAUUAAUAUUGUGAAUUAUAAUAAUGGUGAUAAAUGUUGUUAAAAAUAUUGAGAGAAUAUUUUUUUUUGAAGUAUUUAAUAUAAAUUUUACUUAUUUUAUGGACCCCUAUUUACCCAUUUUUCAAAACUAUUGGUGAAAAGUUAUCUCAAUUUUGUUAUAUAUAUAUAAGGAUUAUAUUUAUAUAUAUUUAUAUAUAUCUACGUGUUAGUCAGAUGGGUGGGGGGAGGGAAAUGGGAUUGUCACAUGAAAGAGCACUAUUCCAUUAUUAUAUUUAUGUGGGUUGAAAAGUUGGCAAAAGCAAGCAAAAUAAAUUCACGGGGUUUUUCACCCGUGAUAUUUUUUGGUUUUGCACAUGUUAUAUAUAUAUAUAUAUAAUAUAUUUUAUAUUUUAUUUAAAAUUUUUGUUUUAUUAGAAUAUUUAUGGACCGUCCGAUUAAAAGUAAAUCAAUCUGGAUCGUUCAUGAAUUAGUUACUAUUCAGUCCAUUAUUCUAUAAAUAGAAGCUCAUUCCUUCAUUAUUUCUUAUGAAUUCACUGAAACUCUAGAGAGAGAAACUAUAGAAAGAAGAAAAGUAUUCUGCUACUUCACUACUUCUAUAUCCAGUACUCUUCCUUUUAAGGUAAGGGGUAUUAUUUCUUUUGUAUUCAUGAAGAGAACUUCUGUUAUUCCAUUCUUUAUUAUUCUGUUUAAAUAACCUGUAUACGCGGGCUACCCUAUACUUGGUGAAAUUCUUCUGUUAUUUCAUUCGUUAUUAUUCUGUUGGAAUAUUCUAUCUGUGCGUUUUACGCAGGACCUGGUUUCGUCUUUAUUAUUCUGUUGGAAUAUCAUGUCUGUGCGUUUUACGCCAGACCUGGUUCCGUCUUUAUUAUUAUGUUGGAAUAUCUUGUCUGUGCGCGUUUUACGCCGAACCUGGUUCCGUCUUUAUUAUUUUGUUGGAAUAUCCUGUUUGUGCGUUUUACGCCGGACCUGGUUCCGUCUUUAUUAUUCUGUUGGAAUAUCCUGUCGGUGCGAAUUUCGCUUGACCUGGUUCCGUUAUUUAUUAUUCUGUUGGAAUAACCUGUCUAUGCGAAGUACCGCAUGGAUGGUGAUUUCUUUUGUUAUUCCAUUCUUUAUUAUACUCAGUUCGUUAAAGUUUUGACUUCUAUACUCCAUGAAAUUAGUGAAAUAUCCUUGAUAUUGGCGCUUCAUCUAGUAUCUUUUCAUGGAAAUAUUCUUCUGAGCAUUCUUAAAUUUUACUCUACAAAGAAGUAUCAUGUUGAUAAUUUGGACGUUAUUAGUUCCUGAAUAAAUUAAUUCUUGAACUUAUUUUAUUGAAUUCAUAUAUCAUUGUCAUCAUCCUCAUGUUUAUAUUUUUUUUUGAAAGUCAUUUGUGGCCUGUAGUGCAUAGAUGGACUUGGUAUGAUUAUGACCAGCGAUUAUUCGGUGUAAUCAUGACCGUAAUGUUACAAUUGAUGUGGUAAAAGUCCUCAUUGGCCCGUAGUGCAUUGGUGGACAGUUGUUGGCAUGAUCAUGAUCAUUGAUGAAUAUACGAAUAUCCUUGGCUCGUAGUGCAUGGAUAAUUUAUGGUUGUGAUACUAAUGAAUAUCCUUGGUCGUAGUGCAGGGGUGAUGUGGAUUAUUUUUUAAGCUGAGUCCCAGCGAUAAAAGUGAUGAAAAAUCUUUUUAAAUCAUAAAAGAUAGUAGAUUUUAUUCUCUACUUGACUCUUUUAAUGUAUUGCAUGUUCCGCUUCAGUUAAACUUGAUGUCUAUUGUAUUUUAUCAGUUUAACACUGUUGAAGACUAAUGAUAAUUUAUUCUGCAUUAUCUUAGUCAUAAUAUUUCUUACUCGGCUAGUUGAGCUCACCAUUUCUUUCACUGUUCUCUUCAGGAAAUGAAAACGUUGUAAGACCCCAACUUAUUAUAAAUAAAAUUAAAUUUCCUCUAUUUAUUAUUUUGAAAUAGUAUGGGUUGAUUUGAUUAAUAUGGUUAGUUAUGGGUAAAAUGCGCAAAUAUUUCAAAUAUGCAAGUGGUUAUAAAAUAUUCAUUUUUAUCAGAAAAUAUUCGUUUGGUCGUGGAAUAUUCUUACUGUCGGGGAAUAUUCGUACGACGGCGCAGCCUUAUGUGAGCCCCAUAACAGAAAGCGAUUUGAUGAAGAAAACGACAAAUAUAAGUUGUUUAUAAAUAACGGCGUAAUUGUUACCGUUAAUACUGUUGGAAUACCCGGUGGUUAAAACACAGUACCACACGGUAUUGCACCAAUUAUUGAUUCUUACGUAGGAAGGCAUUACUCAAUAAUUGUUACAGUAGUUACUCUUCAAUAUUUUAUUUUAUUGAUUCAAUAAUUGCUACAUUGAUAUUUUAUAUUAUUGUUUCAAUAAUUAUCACUACACAGUAUUUUCAUUAUCAGAUCAAUAAUUUAUAUUAUUUGAAUAAUAUUAUUAGAUAACAUUAUUGGCAAUGCCUAGAAAAUUCUGUCUAAGGAGAGGUUUGGUCACCUAAUUGCGCCCUAGUAAGGAGAAAUCCUUAUUGGAAAGCCCCCUCUUUCCUGGGAACGGUCUGGUUGUCAGUAUUGUGAUUCUGUAAUAUUAUUUGUGAAUAAUUAAUUAUUAAUUUUAUGUGGAUAUAGAUGGAGAAAAUUUUUAAUGUGACAAGUGUUGAAAAAAUUUGUUAUUUUAUCUUUUCUGAUAAAUAAUUCAUUUAAAUAUAUUAUUAUAUUUUACUAAUAUAAUAAUGGUGAUAUUUUUACAAUGAAUGUGAGAUAUAUGAGUAUAUGAGGAGGAGGAGUAUUUUUGUUACAAUUAAUGUUUAAAACAUGUUAAACAUGUCGGUGGACCCCAUUUCUUGACUGAAAUUGGUUUAUAGCCCGUAAAAUCGUCCGUUUCUGAAUUUCGGUCAAUUUCUGCUUGGAAUUUAGAAAAACUUAAACUUACAAAGUUGUAGAGAAUGGAAUUUCCUAUGGAAAGGACAUGUGGUUCGAAUUUUUCUGAUAAAAGGACUAUUUAUUAUGAAUUAUUGAAGUUCUGAAGUUCCAGAAUAAUUGAUUUUUGAAGUUUUAAUUAUUUUUUUUAAGAAAAACAUUUUUUAUGAUUUUGGUGGGUUGUUGGCUGAUGUUUUGACCAAAGAAGGCUGCUAAGGAAAUUAAGAAAAGUAUAUUAAUAUUAUAUUAAAUUUUUUGCUUUGGUGUUCUAAGCAUUUUUCUAUAAAUAGGGUGUUUAUGUUAGAAUUGAAAAUCACACCAAAAACUGAAAUUCUCUUUCUCUCUCUAUAUUAUCGAGCGUAUUCUUGUGAGUAUUUUGAUACUUUGAGUGUUGCUAUACGGUGCAAGUUCCCUUCAACACUAUAUCCGGUAUUCCAGCUAGAAGUACAGUCUUUUCAAGGUAAGGGAUGUUUUUUUUUUAAAUGAUAUUAUUUCUUCUAAUAUCAUUAUGAUGGAUUAUUGGUAAGAUUUUUUUUGUGAAAUUCUUGUCUUUUAGUGUCGGGGUUACUAUUCACGUAUACGACACUAUUCACGUUUACGGCACUAUUCACGAAUACGGCACUAUUCACAGAAAAAUUAAAUUUUUGUUUUUGCCCAAAAUAUCUAUUGUGGAUACUAGCUUUGAUUGUAUCCAUGUUUUGAUCAUUCUUGAAUUUUACUUCACUAUGAUUAUCUAUGAAGUAUUUUUGAACCCGGAUUGUUUAAAGUACGAAUCCAUAAUACUUGUUCUUUUGUUUCACUGAAUUCGUUUUCUUUAAAAUAUUUUUCAUCAUCCUCGGUCCUAAAUGAUAGUAUUACUGAAUAUCUUUGGCCUGUAGCGCAAAGAUGAUUGAUUUUCUUAUUAAUAUCUUUGGCCCGUAGUCCAAAGAUGUACAGGUGUUGAGAUGAACAUGACCGACUGAUGAAUAUCUUUGGCCUGUAGUGCAAAGAUGAAUAUUUGAUUCAAGAUGAAUAUUAGUUGAUGUUAUAGGGAUAAAAUAUUGUUGAUGGACUUUUAAAUUCAAAGAUUAUAGUAGAUUUCAUUCUCUACGUAACUCUUCUAUGAAUUAUUAUUUCUGCUGCGAAUAUUGAUCUGAAACUUGUUGUCUAUUGUAUUUUAUCAGAUUUUUCCCUGUUGAAGACUAACGAUAAUUUGUUAUAUAUUAUCUUAGUCAUAAUAUUCUUUACUAGGCUAGUUGAGCUCACCCUUUUCCUUUUUGUUCCAUUUUUCUUCUCAGGAGGCGAGAAUGUAGCGAGUUCUAGUCGGGGUUCUAGAAAGUUUUUUUAGUAGUCCUCACCAUUUUUGUAAAAUAAUGUACCAAUAAUUGUAAUAAGGACUUAUUUGGGUGUGAAUAUUGUCUAGACAACAAUAUUUGUAUUUAAACUCACAGUUUUCAUGUUGUAUUAAUAAAGUUGUAGUUGUUUCUGUACCAUGUUAUUGAUGACUCAAAAUGGGUGAUGUAUACCUAUUUUGGGGGCGUCACAGUUGGUAUCAGAGCUUAGGGAUAUGAUCUCUGGCGGAGAUCGGGGAAAAGAACUAGGAGGGGAGAGACGAGUAAAUCAUUCGCUAGUGUGUCCUACCUAAGCUUAUUUGUUAGUUGGUCAGUAUAUAGGGAUAUUAUGUGAUAUAUUGAUUUCCUUAAUUAACCCUUGUUUUAUGACAGUAUUUGAGAAUGUCGACUGAGAAUAUUAACAAUGGAAAUGAGACCGUGGAGACGCCUGUACUCACCAACGAGGAGAACGUGCAACAGGCUGGCAAUGUUCCUCCUGUGAACAACACCACUGAGCAGAUGAUGAACGAGGGGAUAUUUAGAAGCUUUUUGCAGUUCAUGCAAAAUCAGACGAGGGAGACUCGUGUUCAAAACAUAGGAGGAAAUGAUAGCAAUUCACGGGUUGUCACAGCCAAGCAGUUCAAAGAGUUGGGACCACCAGAAUUUAAGGGAAAGCCAGAUCCGAUCAUGGCAGAAACAUGGGUCAAGCAAAUUACCAAGAUAUUCGAUGUCUUGGGAUGCACAGAGGAACAGAAGGUUCCAUUCGCCACCUUUAUGUUCCGUGGCGAGGCAGACUACUGGUGGGAGUCUGUGAAGCGUACCCAUCCAGCCGCACUCAGCAUGUCUUGGGAGACGUUUCAGAAACUAUUUAAUGACAAAUACUUUCCUGAAAGUGUUCGUCAUAUGAAGGAAGUGGAGUUUAUUAGACUGGAGCAGAACAACAUGACGGUGUCUCAGUACGAGGCGAAGUUUGCAGAGUUAUCCAGGUUUGCACCUCAUUUGGUGGAGAAUGAGGAACGUAUGACGCGGAUGUUUCUGAGAGGUUUGAAACCCGGCAUACGUCAGUAUCUCAUCUCUCAUAAAUUUUCUCUCUAUUCAGAUGUUGUUAACAGGGCUCAAUUGUUAGAGCGAGAUAACGAGUACGGUCAACCGAGGUACCACAAUCAGGAUCAUACCGGAGAUAGCAGUCAACAAAACAACAAUAACCAGUGGAGAAAGAAAAAGACGGACAAAAAUGGUAACCACUCUGGUGGUAAUCAUGGCCAUGAAAAUAGAAGAAGCGAGUCAGGAGGAGAUUUUAAAAAGAGGAGAUUCAACAACGACCAUGUGAAGACGACAGUGCCAGCAGCAACUGGUUCCAAGGGAGGAGAACGACCACCGGUCAUAUGCUAUAAAUGCGGGAAAGAGGGACAUAUCAGUCCAAACUGCCCACAACAGUUCCAGGUAUGCUAUAAUUGUGGAAAGGAAGGACAUAUCGCUCGAGAUUGCACGGUAGCGAAACCUAGUUCAGCGGGGACGGUGACUCAAAAGACUGUCCCAGAAAAGUCAAAGUCAACGGUUCCUGGAAGAGCGUUUGUUGUGACUGGUCAAAAUGCGAGGAACCCAAACGAGGUGAUCACGGGUAAGCUAUUUAUAAAUUCUUGCGAAGUUUAUACCUUACUAGAUACCGGUGCUACCCAUUCAUUUAUCUCUCCUGCUUGUGCUCAACGUUUAAACUUGACUCCGGAGAAAUUAGACUUUGACCUAUCUGUGGAAACUCCGUUAGGAGAAACUUUCAUCACAUCCACUGUUUAUAAAUCUUGUUUGAUUCAAGUUGGCACCAUCACCUUACCUGUUGACCUUAUCUCUUUAAAGAUACUUGCUUUUGAUGUGAUUUUAGGGAUUGAUUGGUUAACUACUCAUCAUGCCAAAAUUGAUUGUUUUCGUAAGGUUGUUAGCUUUCAUAUUCCUAAACAACCUGUUGUACGAAUUCAAGCAACUAAACCAUUAAAAUCAAUCACUGUCAUAUCUAAUCAUAAAGCUAUUCGUUUAUUGAAAAACGGAUGUCAAGCUUUCUUAGCCCAUGUUAUGGAUUUGAAUAAAGACACGUCAAAUUUGAAUAAUAUUCCUGUUGUUAUUGACUUUCCUGACGUAUUUCCUGAAGAACUUCCCGGUCUACCCCCAGAACGUGAAGUUGAAUUCUUUAUUGAUCUUGAACCUGGUACAAAGCCCAUUUCUAAAACCCCAUAUCGAAUGGCUCCUAUUGAACUUCAGGAGUUAAAGGUCCAACUACAGGAGUUGUUGGACAUCGGUUUCAUUCGUCCUAGUACAUCUCCUUGGGGUGCUCCUGUUUUAUUCGUAAAGAAGAAAGACGGGAGUAUGCGACUUUGUAUUGACUAUCGGGAAUUGAACCAUGUCACCAUCAAGAAUAGGUAUCCGCUACCUCGUAUUGAUGACCUGUUUGACCAGUUGCAAGGAGCACAAUUCUUUUCAAAGAUCGAUCUUCGUUCUGGAUAUCAUCAGCUGAAGAUUAGAACUGAGGAUAUUCCAAAGACUGCCUUCAGAACUCGAUACGGGCAUUAUGAAUUUUUAGUCUCUUUUGGAUUGACUAAUGCUCCUGCGGCUUUCAUGGAUAUGAUGAACCGAGUAUUCAAGGACUAUUUGGAUCAGUUCGUUGUUGUCUUUAUUGAUGACAUUCUCAUAUAUUCCAAAAGUUGUGAAGAUCAUGAGCACCAUUUGAAGAUGGUACUCCAAAGGCUUCGUGAAAACAAGUUAUAUUCCAAGUUAAAGAAAUGCGAAUUCUGGCUUGAGGAAAUAGCAUUCCUUGGGCACGUGGUGUCAAAACAUGGAGUAUCUGUUGACCCGGCGAAGAUUGAGGCAAUACAAAGUUUGGAGCAACCGAAGUCGGUAACCGAAGUACGUAGCUUUUUGGGCUUAGCUGGUUAUUAUCGGAGAUUCGUGGAAGGAUUUUCUCGAAUCGCUACUCCGUUAACUCAGCUGACUCGGAAAGAUUUAAAAUUCGUAUGGAGCGAGGAAUGCGAGAAAAGUUUCCAAGAGCUCAAGAGGAGACUCAUUUCGGCACCUGUUCUGACAAUACCAUCUGGUUCGAAUGGAUUUGUUAUCUACAGCGAUGCUUCAGAUCAAGGGUUAGGAUGUGUUCUCAUGCAACGUGGGAAAGUCAUAGCCUAUGCCUCGCGACAACUUAAAGAAUAUGAGAGGAAUUAUCCUACUCAAGAUCUAGAGUUAGCAGCAGUUGUUUUUGCGCUAAAGAUCUGGAUGCACUAUCUAUAUGGAGAGAAAGUGGAGAUAUAUUCAGACCAUAAAAGCCUCAAAUAUUUCUUCACCCAAAAAGAACUCAACAUGCGACAACGACGUUGGCUCGAGCUGUUAAAAGAUUACGACCACACCAUUCAAUACCAUCCUGGAAAAGCAAACGUGGUAGCUGACGCAUUGAGUAGAAGAUCAUAUGCAGGAACGAGUGUGAUGAUGUCAAGUAUACGCAUAGAACCAACUUUAAUCGAUAAAGUUAAAGUUCCUCAAGCCACCGACCCGGAGCUGAUGCGUAUGAAGAAGAAAGUACAAGAAGAAGCUAUUCCGGAAGCAAGAAUCGAUGAAGAAGGAAUACUUCGAGUCCACUCCAGACUGUAUGUUCCUAACGACUCUAUUUUGAAGAACAAGAUCAUGACGGAGGCACACAAUACACCAUUUGCAAUCCAUCCUGAAAGUACCAAAAUGUAUCAUGAUCUUCGACAUACAUUUUGGUGGAACAAUAUGAAGAGAGAGAUUGCAAAGUUUAUCUCGAGGUGUUUAACUUGUCAACCCGUAAAGGCGAAGCAUCAAGUACCUAAGGGUUUAUUGCAACCACUUGAGAUUCUGAAAUGGAAGUGGGAACACAUUACCAUGGAUUUCGUUACGGGUCUUCCCAUGGUUUCUCAAGGCAUAAAUGUUAUUUGGGUUAUUGUUGAUAGAUUAACUAAGUCUGCUCAUUUCUUGUCGAUACGGGAGACUUAUUCCCUUGAAUGUCUUGCUCGUAUGUACGUGAAUGAGAUUGUAAGAUUGCAUGGCAUGCCAGUAUCCAUAAAUAAAAUUGACAAACGGCUCAAGAUUGACAAAAGAGUUAUGCGGAUCUUCAUCGAAAGGACAUGGAAUUUAGUAUUGGAGAUCAUGUAUUGUUGCGUGUUGCCCCAUGGAAGGGAGUUACAAGAUUCAGGAAGAGAGGAAAGCUCAAUCUACGAUUUAUUGGUCCAUUUCAGAUUCUUGACCGAGUAGGAAAUGUAGCCUAUAGACUUGCGUUACCUCCAAGUAUGUCUCGUGUUCAUAAUGUUGUUCAUAUAUCUGUGCUUCGUAAAUAUGUGAAAGACCCGAACCACGUUAUUGAGUUAGAACCAGAUGAGAUAGGCGAAGACUUAACGUACGAGGAGGUACCUGUCAAGAUCUUGGAUAGGAAGGAGCAUGUCUUACGUACAAAGGUCAUACCACAAGUNNNNNNNNNNNNNNNNNNNNNNNNNNNNNNNNNNNNNNNNNNNNNNNNNNNNNNNNNNNNNNNNNNNNNNNNNNNNNNNNNNNNNNNNNNNNNNNNNNNNNNNNNNNNNNNNNNNNNNNNNNNNNNNNNNNNNNNNNNNNNNNNNNNNNNNNNNNNNNNNNNNNNNNNNNNNNNNNNNNNNNNNNNNNNNNNNNNNNNNNNNNNNNNNNNNNNNNNNNNNNNNNNNNNNNNNNNNNNNNNNNNNNNNNNNNNNNNNNNNNNNNNNNNNNNNNNNNNNNNNNNNNNNNNNNNNNNNNNNNNNNNNNNNNNNNNNNNNNNNNNNNNNNNNNNNNNNNNNNNNNNNNNNNNNNNNNNNNNNNNNNNNNNNNNNNNNNNNNNNNNNNNNNNNNNNNNNNNNNNNNNNNNNNNNNNNNNNNNNNNNNNNNNNNNNNNNNNNNNNNNNNNNNNNNNNNNNNNNNNNNNNNNNNNNNNNNNNNNNNNNNNNNNNNNNNNNNNNNNNNNNNNNNNNNNNNNNNNNNNNNNNNNNNNNNNNNNNNNNNNNNNNNNNNNNNNNNNNNNNNNNNNNNNNNNNNNNNNNNNNNNNNNNNNNNNNNNNNNNNNNNNNNNNNNNNNNNNNNNNNNNNNNNNNNNNNNNNNNNNNNNNNNNNNNNNNNNNNNNNNNNNNNNNNNNNNNNNNNNNNNNNNNNNNNNNNNNNNNNNNNNNNNNNNNNNNNNNNNNNNNNNNNNNNNNNNNNNNNNNNNNNNNNNNNNNNNNNNNNNNNNNNNNNNNNNNNNNNNNNNNNNNNNNNNNNNNNNNNNNNNNNNNNNNNNNNNNNNNNNNNNNNNNNNNNNNNNNNNNNNNNNNNNNNNNNNNNNNNNNNNNNNNNNNNNNNNNNNNNNNNNNNNNNNNNNNNNNNNNNNNNNNNNNNNNNNNNNNNNNNNNNNNNNNNNNNNNNNNNNNNNNNNNNNNNNNNNNNNNNNNNNNNNNNNNNNNNNNNNNNNNNNNNNNNNNNNNNNNNNNNNNNNNNNNNNNNNNNNNNNNNNNNNNNNNNNNNNNNNNNNNNNNNNNNNNNNNNNNNNNNNNNNNNNNNNNNNNNNNNNNNNNNNNNNNNNNNNNNNNNNNNNNNNNNNNNNNNNNNNNNNNNNNNNNNNNNNNNNNNNNNNNNNNNNNNNNNNNNNNNNNNNNNNNNNNNNNNNNNNNNNNNNNNNNNNNNNNNNNNNNNNNNNNNNNNNNNNNNNNNNNNNNNNNNNNNNNNNNNNNNNNNNNNNNNNNNNNNNNNNNNNNNNNNNNNNNNNNNNNNNNNNNNNNNNNNNNNNNNNNNNNNNNNNNNNNNNNNNNNNNNNNNNNNNNNNNNNNNNNNNNNNNNNNNNNNNNNNNNNNNNNNNNNNNNNNNNNNNNNNNNNNNNNNNNNNNNNNNNNNNNNNNNNNNNNNNNNNNNNNNNNNNNNNNNNNNNNNNNNNNNNNNNNNNNNNNNNNNNNNNNNNNNNNNNNNNNNNNNNNNNNNNNNNNNNNNNNNNNNNNNNNNNNNNNNNNNNNNNNNNNNNNNNNNNNNNNNNNNNNNNNNNNNNNNNNNNNNNNNNNNNNNNNNNNNNNNNNNNNNNNNNNNNNNNNNNNNNNNNNNNNNNNNNNNNNNNNNNNNNNNNNNNNNNNNNNNNNNNNNNNNNNNNNNNNNNNNNNNNNNNNNNNNNNNNNNNNNNNNNNNNNNNNNNNNNNNNNNNNNNNNNNNNNNNNNNNNNNNNNNNNNNNNNNNNNNNNNNNNNNNNNNNNNNNNNNNNNNNNNNNNNNNNNNNNNNNNNNNNNNNNNNNNNNNNNNNNNNNNNNNNNNNNNNNNNNNNNNNNNNNNNNNNNNNNNNNNNNNNNNNNNNNNNNNNNNNNNNNNNNNNNNNNNNNNNNNNNNNNNNNNNNNNNNNNNNNNNNNNNNNNNNNNNNNNNNNNNNNNNNNNNNNNNNNNNNNNNNNNNNNNNNNNNNNNNNNNNNNNNNNNNNNNNNNNNNNNNNNNNNNNNNNNNNNNNNNNNNNNNNNNNNNNNNNNNNNNNNNNNNNNNNNNNNNNNNNNNNNNNNNNNNNNNNNNNNNNNNNNNNNNNNNNNNNNNNNNNNNNNNNNNNNNNNNNNNNNNNNNNNNNNNNNNNNNNNNNNNNNNNNNNNNNNNNNNNNNNNNNNNNNNNNNNNNNNNNNNNNNNNNNNNNNNNNNNNNNNNNNNNNNNNNNNNNNNNNNNNNNNNNNNNNNNNNNNNNNNNNNNNNNNNNNNNNNNNNNNNNNNNNNNNNNNNNNNNNNNNNNNNNNNNNNNNNNNNNNNNNNNNNNNNNNNNNNNNNNNNNNNNNNNNNNNNNNNNNNNNNNNNNNNNNNNNNNNNNNNNNNNNNNNNNNNNNNNNNNNNNNNNNNNNNNNNNNNNNNNNNNNNNNNNNNNNNNGAGAGGUUUGGUCACCUAAUUGCGCGCUAGUAAGGAGAAAUCCUUAUUGGAAAGCCCCCUCUUUCCUGGGAACGGUCUGGUUGUCAGUAUUGUGAUUCUGUAAUAUUAUUUGUGAAUAAUUAAUUAUUAAUUUUAUGUGGAUAUAGAUGGAAAAAAAUUUUAAUGUGACAAUUGUUAAAAAAAAUUGUUAUUUUAUCUUUUCUGAUAAAUAAUUCAUUUAAAUAUAUUAUUAUAUUUUAAUAAUAUAAUAAUUGUGAUAUUUUUACAAUGAAUGUGGGAUAUAUGAGUAUAUGAGGAGAAAGAGUAUUUUUGUUAUAAUUAAUGUUUAAAACAUGUUAAACAUGUCGGUGGACCCCAUUUCUUGACUGAAUUAGUUUAUAGCCCGUAAAAUUGCCCGUUUGUGGAUUUCGGUCAAUUUCUGCUUGGAAUUUAUAAAAAUAUAAACUUACAAAGUUGUAGAGAAUGAAAUUUUCUAUGGAAAGGACAUGUGGUUUGAAUUUUUCUGAUAAAAGGGCUAUUUAUUAUGAAUUAUUGAAGUUCUGAAGUUCCAGAAUAAUUAAUUUUUGAAGUUUUAAUUAUUAUUUUUUAAGAAAAAUGUUUUUUUGUGAUUUUGGUGGGUUGUUGGCUGAUGUUUUGACCAAAGAAGGCUGCUAAGGAAAUUAAGAAAAGUAUAUUAAUAUUAUAUUAAAUUUUCUGCUUUGGUGUUCUAAGCAUUUUUCUAUAAAUAUGGUGCUUAGGUUAGAAUUAAAAAUCACACCAGAAACUGAGAUUCAUAUUAUCGAGCGUAUUCUUGUGAGUAUUUUGAUACUUUGAGUGUUGCUAUACGGUGAAAGUUCCCUUCAACGCUAUAUCCGGUAUUCCAGCUAGAAGUACAGUCUUUUCAAGGUAAGGGAUGUUAUUUUUUUUUUAAAUGAUAUUAUUUCUUCUAAUAUCAUUAUGUUGGAUUAUUGGUAAGAUUUUUCUUGUGAAAUUAUUAUCUUUUAGUGUCGGGGUUACUAUUCACGUAUACGACACUAUUCACGUAUACGACACUAUUCAAGAAUACGGCACUAUUCACAGAAAAAUUAAAUUUUAGUUUUUUUCCAAAAUAUCUAUUGUGGAUACUAGCUUUGAUUGUAUCCAUGUUUUGAUCAUUCUUGAAUUUUGCUUCACUAUGAUUAUUUAUGAAGUAUUUUUGAACCUGGAUUGUUUAAAGUACGAAUCCAUAAUACUUGUUCUUUUGUUUCACUGAAUUCAUUUUCUUUAAAAUAUUUUUCAUCUUCCUCAGUCCUAAAUGAUGGUAUUAUUGAAUAUCUUUGGCCUGUAGCGCAAAGAUGGUUGAUUUUCUUAUGAAUAUCUUUGGCCCGUAGUGCAAAGAUGUACAGGAGUUGAGAUGAACAUGACCGACUGAUGAAUAUCUUUGGCCUGUUGUGCAAAGAUGAAUAUUUGAUUUAAGAUGAAUAUUGGUUGAUGUUGUAGGGAUAAAAUAUUGUUGAUGGACUUUUAAAUUCAUGGAUUAUAUUAGAUUUCAUUCUCUACGUAACUCUUCUAUGAAUUAUUAUUUCCGCUGCGAAUAUUGAUCUGAAACUUGUUGUCUAUUGUAUUUUAUCAGAUUUUUCCCUGUUGAAGACUAACGAUAAUUUGUUCUAUAGUAUCUUAGUCAUAAUAUUCUUUACUGAGCUAGUUGAGCUCACCCUUUUCCUUUUUGUUCCAUUUUUCUUCUCAGGAGGCGGGA